rnacentral:lncRNA from 1 species
GCCACGCCGUGGAGUGCCCUGGCCGCGCCAUGGCAGCAGCGGUGGAGGUCGGAGCAGGAGGUUGGAGGUGCGAAAUGGAGCGCGGGAGGCGGAGGGAGGUGGUGGUGGUGAGAGGAGGAGGCGGGGGGAGGAGGUAUAUGUACCGGCGAGUCGGCGACGAGAGGGCGCGCGGUUGUUGGGGAGGCUGCCGUGCGGGUGGAAACUUCCACGCCGGUACGCGGGAGGGACUGGUGUUCUCUUUGGCGGACAGAGUCUUGUUGGCUGCUGGACGAUAACCCUUCUCUGAGUUGUCUCGUCUAAAAAAAUGGCGCUGAAUAACCGAGGCUGGACGUAGUACUACAGUUCACAUCUCCGUUGAAAGGUUCUAGGCCGGGAGACCGUUUCCUCCUAUGAUGUCUAGGCUGUAUGCCCGCUGCAAAGCGCAAACUGUUUCUUUUUAUAUUUUUUUGGGAGUUGAGAAAGAGAGCGGCAAGGCAAAGCAUAUUCGGCAGCGUGAGCGAGUGAAGCCACCCACUGUUCCAGCACGAAAGGAUCGCCUGUACGACGAACGAAUAGAUGCUACAAUCACACCGAUGCCAUGCCAUGCCGUGCAAAGGGAUUCAUUCCAGUACGGACCGUUUUGUGAUUCUUCCCUUGCUGUGAUUUCCAGUUCGGGCAUUUUGGCGAGAUUAAUUAGAAGCUUUUUUGGAGAAAAAAUAGUAUCAGUAGGUACUACUGAUAAUUUGCUAGUUUCAUGGAUGGGCGUGCACGCGUUGUUGGAAACGAAUAUUUUGGCAAUGCUACACGAUGUAUUGAUCGGUGCAUAGUACACGUAUAUAUGGAGUACAAGAUGGGUCGCAACCUCAACUAUACAAUGACUAGGAGGUGGGCCGGACUAUACAAUGUACAUGCACAANNNNNNNNNNNNNNNNNNNNNNNNNNNNNNNNNNNNNNNNNNNNNNNNNNNNNNNNNNNNNNNNNNNNNNNNNNNNNNNNNNNNNNNNNNNNNNNNNNNNNNNNNNNNNNNNNNNNNNNNNNNNNNNNNNNNNNNNNNNNNNNNNNNNNNNNNNNNNNNNNNNNNNNNNNNNNNNNNNNNNNNNNNNNNNNNNNNNNNNNNNNNNNNNNNNNNNNNNNNNNNNNNNNNNNNNNNNNNNNNNNNNNNNNNNNNNNNNNNNNNNNNNNNNNNNCGGAGACGCAAAGACUGGACCUGAACUCCUCGAAAACAUAAGUAGGCAGUCCUUUUGUCAUAACAUCGGCAAACUGUUGCGCCGUCGGGACGUGGAGGACCCGGAUGCGCCCGAGGGCCACCUGCUCACGAACAAAGUGUAUGUCGAGCUCAAUGUGCUUCGUUCGUCGAUGGUGGACCGGGUUGGCGGAGAGGUACACAGCGGAGACGUUGUCGCAGUAGACGAGUGUGGCCUUGUGAACAUCACAAAGCAACUCCUGGAGCAGCUGACGAAGCCAAGAGCAUUCGGCAACGGCGUUAGCCACUGCCCGAUACUCUGCCUCGGCACUCGAGCGAGAGACUGUGGGCUGUCGCUUGGAAGACCAAGAGAUCAGAGACGGCCCAAGGUAGACACAGUAUCCCGAAGUGGAGCGCUGUGUGUCCGGACAGCCAGCCCAGUCCGCAUCAGAGUAGGCAACGAAGUCGGUAGAGGCGGAGGCCGUCAGUGUAAGUCCCAUGGACGUAGUGCCGCGUAUGUAACGGAGGAUACGCUUCACCAAGGUCCAGUGAGAGUCACGCGGAACAUGCAUGUGAAGACAGACCUGCUGAACGGCAUACUGCAAGUCGGGGCGCGUCAGGGUGAGGUACUGCAAGGCACCCACAAUGGAGCGAUAGAAGGCCGCGUCGGAUGCGGGAGAGCCCUCCGGAGAUGAAACCUUGGCCUUGGUGUCAACAGGCGUGGGAGCAGGCUUGCAGUUAAGCAUGCCGGCACGAUCGAGAAGCUCAUGGACGUAACGCUGCUGAUGCAGAAAGAACCCAUCUGGCCGUCAAACCACCUCAAUGCCGAGGAAGUAGUGGAGGGGCCCCAAGUCCUUCAGGGCAAACUCAUCGCGAAGACGAGCAGUAAGCCGCUGGAGAAGCGCGACAGUGAAUGCCGUCAGGAUGAUGUCGUCGACGUAGAGCAACAAGUAGGUCGUGUCAACCCCGUGAUGGUACACGAAGAGGGACGCGUCGGAGCGGGUCGAUGUAAAUCCGAGCGUUUGCAGGAAGGCAGCAAUGCGCUGGUACCAGGCCCGAGGCGCCUGCUUUAACCCGUAAAGAGAACGGGAGAGCAAGCACACAUGGUCCGGAUGUGUGGCGUCGACGAGCCGGUGGGCUGCUCACAGAACACCUGCUCAGCGAGGUGGCCGUGCAAGAAGGCGUUGGAGACGUCCAACUGAUGCACAAGCCAAGCUCGGGAGACGGCCAGCUGAAGCACGGUGCGGAUCGUGCCCGGUUUAACAACCAGAGCAAAAGUGUCGGUGAAGUCCACGCCAGCACGUUGCCGAAAGCCUCAAACCACCCAGCGAGCUUUGUAGCGCUCGAGAGUCCCGUCGGGACGAGUCUUAUGCCGAAAGACCCACUUGCCCGUGAUGAUGUUGGCACGAGGUGGCCGAGGGACAAGCUGCCAGGUGCGGUUCCGUUGGAGCACAUCGAACUCUUCCUGCAUCGCAGCGAGCCAAUGAGGGUCCCGAAGGGCGGCUCAAGCUGACGACGGGAGAGGGGACGGCUCGGAGACGAAGGCGGCUAGAAGAUACUCAUCGCUGGUGUACCGCGUACUCGGGCGGAGGGUACCAGCCCGAGAGCGAGUCAUCGGGCGGGGCAGCGAGUCUGGGGCGACGGGCGAAGACGAAGAAGAGCCCGCCGCCACUGAUGCCGCGGGUGAGGCCGNNNNNNNNNNNNNNNNNNNNNNNNNNNNNNNNNNNNNNNNNNNNNNNNNNNNNNNNNNNNNNNNNNNNNNNNNNNNNNNNNNNNNNNNNNNNNNNNNNNNNNNNNNNNNNNNNNNNNNNNNNNNNNNNNNNNNNNNNNNNNNNNNNNNNNNNNNNNNNNNNNNNNNNNNNNNNNNNNNNNNNNNNNNNNNNNNNNNNNNNNNNNNNNNNNNNNNNNNNNNNNNNNNNNNNNNNNNNNNNNNNNNNNNNNNNNNNNNNNNNNNNNNNNNNNNNNNNNNNNNNNNNNNNNNNNNNNNNNNNNNNNNNNNNNNNNNNNNNNNNNNNNNNNNNNNNNNNNNNNNNNNNNNNNNNNNNNNNNNNNNNNNNNNNNNNNNNNGGAAGCCGGCCGGGGAGGAACUCGACCCGGGGCACGGGGGGCACCCUCAAAGCCAGGAGGCGGCCCAAGAGAAGCGCGCGAGCGGCCGUCACCGAGAGCGGGCAAGGCCGCAACAUCCGAAGGUACCUGCUGAAAUGGAAAAACCAUCUCAUCAAAGUAAACGUGUCGGGAAGUGAUGACCCGAUGUGAGAUAGGAUCAUAGCAGCGGUAGCCUUUGGUGUUGGGGGGAUAGCCAAGAAAAAUACAGGCCACGGACCGUGGUGCGAGCUUAUGAGGAGUAGUGGAAGUGAUGCUAGGGUAGCACAAGCAACCGAAGAUGCGAAGCUCGGUGUAGGAAGGUGGCGUGCCGAACAAAAGAUGAUGAGGAGCAAAAUUCCUGCGAGUGCGACAGGGACGGAUGUUGAGGAGUAGUGAUGCGGUGGCGAGCGCGUCAGGCCAGAAACAUGGUGGCACGUUGGCGUGAAAGAGGAGGGUGCGAACGCAGUCAUUAAGAGUGCGAAGCACGCGCUCAGCGCGGCCAUUUUGUUGCGAAGUGUACGGGCAAGUGAGACGAAAAAUCGUGCCGUGUGUGGCGAGAAGGUUGUGGAUUGCAAGAUUAUCGAACUCCCUCCCAUUAUCUGUUUGCAACGCAUGAAUGGGGCGACCAAACUGCGUGGAGACAUAGGAGUAGAAUGCGGUGAGAGUGGAAACAGAAUCCGACUGUCGCCGCAACGGGAAGGUCCACACAUAGUGCGAAAAAUCAUUAAGAAUAACGAGAUAAUAGAGAUAGCCCGUGUUACUUGCAACAGGAGAGGUCCAAACAUCACUAUGAAUUAACUCAAAUGGGUAUGAAGCAACAUGCGAGGAAGUGCUAAAGGGUAGACGAGUAUGUUUGCCGAGACGACAAGCAUGACAAGUGUGAUCGUCGAUCUUAUUACACGUGAAUGAAAAACUGCGAAGAAUAUGACGAAGGGUGGUAGGGUUGGGAUGACCAAGACGAGCAUGCCAAAGGUCCACUCCAGUAGAAAGCGCCAUGGGUGCAGCGACGGAGGAUGUGGAUGAGUGGACCGGGUAAAGCUUGUCGGGAUUGUCACAUCGGUGGAGCACCAUCCGGGUACGGGCAUCCUUAACAGAAAAGCCAAACAUGUCAAAUUCAACGGUGACAGGAUUUUCACGUGUAGGAGAACGAACAGAAACAAGAUUUUUAAUGUUGUCAGGUGAAACGAGUACGUUAGAAAGAUAUAAUGGAAUGGAGUUAGAAGGAAAAGCAGUAUAGCCGACAUGAGUGAUGGGCAUGGAAGAACCAUCGCCCACAGUAAUGCGAGUAGCAGUGUGAACAGGGUAAGCGGUAAGAAGGUUACCGGGAUUGGCGGCCAUGUGAGCCGUGGCUCCAGUGUCCAUGUACCAGUCGCCACCGCCAGUGUACUGCUGUGGCGUGGGGGCGGUGUGGAGGGCCGCUAGCAGCGCGGGGUCCCAUGGCGCCGGUGGGAGGGCCGGGGCCGACGGCAGGGGCUGUGGCGGUGGCUCCGCGAACCCACCGGUCGGAGGCAGCCCAUAGGCCGCCGAGGGGCCGAAGAGCGGUGCCGGCGGAUACGCCUGAGGGGCCGCGUACAGAGCCUGAUGAGGGGCCGGGCGGGCGCCAAAAACACCGGGGACGGGGGCGCGCGGUAUGGGCAUGAAGUAUGCGUGAACAACCCCCGUCCAGGGGUUCUGGCCGGCCUGCCAGGGCGCCGGCGGGGAGCGGGUGCUGCGGCUGGCGCGGCGCCCCGCCAUGGGCAGCUGGCUGCUGCUGCUGCUGCUUGCGGCNNNNNNNNNNNNNNNNNNNNNNNNNNNNNNNNNNNNNNNNNNNNNNNNNNNNNNNNNNNNNNNNNNNNNNNNNNNNNNNNNNNNNNNNNNNNNNNNNNNNNNNNNNNNNNNNNNNNNNNNNNNNNNNNNNNNNNNNNNNNNNNNNNNNNNNNNNNNNNNNNNNNNNNNNNNNNNNNNNNNNNNNNNNNNNNNNNNNNNNNNNNNNNNNNNNNNNNNNNNNNNNNNNNNNNNNNNNNNNNNNNNNNNNNNNNNNNNNNNNNNNNNNNNNNNNNNNNNNNNNNNNNNNNNNNNNNNNNNNNNNNNNNNNNNNNNNNNNNNNNNNNNNNNNNNNNNNNNNNNNNNNNNNNNNNNNNNNNNNNNNNNNNNNNNNNNNNNNNNNNNNNNNNNNNNNNNNNNNNNNNNNNNNNNNNNNNNNNNNNNNNNNNNNNNNNNNNNNNNNNNNNNNNNNNNNNNNNNAAGGGGCCUGCGGCGGCGCGGGAUAGGGGAACCCGGGUGGCGGCUGCGCGUGGAGGGGCCCCUGGGCGGGCCGCGGCGGGGGAGCCGGAGCGGUGGGCGGCGCAUCGCCGCGGGUUCCGGUGGUGAGAGCCGUAUGGGUGGGUACGGCCCGGGUGCGCGACAUCCGCAUCCUCCUCUCCUCCAGCUUCAGGUACGCGACGAUCUUGGGGAAGGUCGGGUUGGUGAUGAGAGGGAUGUUGGAGGCGGCGUUCCCGAAGUCUUCGUUCAGGGCGGCGAUGAGAGUGCUGAGGAGGAGCUCGUCGGAGACCUUCUCGCCGAGGUCACGGAGCUCGUCGACAAGCUUGUUGAGGCGCAUGCAAUAAUCGUCAACCGACGAGUCAAACUGCUGGCACCCAAAAAACUCGCCGUGCAAGAAAACCUUGCGUUGGAGCGCGUUGUCGGUGAAGAGGCCGUUGAGCUUAGUCCAAACGGCGUGAGCGUCAUCAUCGACGGAGACCGCCGUGUGAAAGCGGUCCUUCGAGAUGGUGGUGUAGAACCAGCGGAUAAGAGUGGCGUCGAUGGACGUUCACUCCUCGUCGUCCUCCAUGAAGCGGGAGUCCACGGAGUCAUCGAUGUGAUCCCGGAGAUUGUACUCACAGAACACAAGGGAGAAGUACGUCUUCCAGGCAUAGUAGGUGGAGGUGAGGUGAUCGAGAACGAUGGGAACCCGAGCGAGGAUAUUGAGAUCACGGAUGACGACGGGAUCGGGGCCGUCGAAGGGGUUGAUGCGGCGGCUGCGGGUGGUACCGGUGGAACCGGGGGAGGCUAUGGCCGAGAGGGGAGUGCGGCGGCGCAUGGUGAAGCGGCGCGGCGAGAAGGAUGGCGGCGCGGCGGGUGGCGGCGCUGCGGGUAGCGGGAGGCGGCGCGGCGGGUGACAGCGCUGCGGGAUGCGGGCGGAAGUGCGAGGCGGCGGCGGCACAUAGGGGGCGGCGGCGAAGUGGCGGCGGCGGCGGCGGCGAUGGGAUCGCGACGGCGGCAGGAGUUAGGGUUAGGAUCGUAGGUAUGAUACCAUGUUGGAAACGAAUAUUUUGACAAUGCUACGCGAUGUAUUGAUCGAUGCAUAGUGCAUGUAUAUAUAGAGUACAAGAUGGGCCACAACCUCAACUAUACAAUGACUAAGAGGUAGAGCCGGACUUUACAAUGUACAUGCAUAAAUCAUAUAUUCAACACGCGGGGCCUGUGUGCAUGCGCCGUCGCGCUGGAGCAUGUAUGUCGGGCAUAAAGGGUUGGCCUGACAGAGCGCGACAAGGCGCAUGGCCUCCAACUUUUCCCACGUUCAGUGGGUCGUGGCCUAGUCGCCUGCGGCCGAGUUGCCAGGAGUGGUUGAAGAUUAUCAUCUCAGAGGAUUAGGUAGCACACGCAGCAAGUUCAAGGCUGGGUCAACCUUCCUUCCGUCGCCGUCCCGCCAUCCUUUUCCUAUGCCACAGGCAAGGCAGGCAAUACCAACAUGUGUUCUUUCCAAUUGUUUAUCCUGCUCUGCUCGGGCCACGCCCGUCGAGGGUUCCUGCCCCUUGCCCGCACUCGGCACACGACGCCGCCGGAGACGGCCACGAACCAGGCUUCCCACUUUUCGCCUCCCGUCUUCCUACUAAAAUAUUGCAGGGUUUGCACUAGGGCUGGCGCGUGCCGUAUGGAGGCCUAGCACGCGUUUGUGACCGGCCUCCACGGCUCAGAGGAGGCGCUUGCGGGUGACUCGUUCAACAAUGUUCAUCGCGGAGACCAGUACGUCGAUCGUCUUGGUGAGGCCGGUGAGAUCUUCUUUUGUUGUUGCAAUGAAUCUGGUGAGAGAUGUGUGCAUGCCUGGCAUUUCCGCGUGCAUUUUGUUGGCUUGUACCGUUGUAUAUAUCUACGCUGCUUUGACUGCGCAUGCGUACCGUCGGUAUUACUGGCGGGCCGUAUGUAUGCAUGCAUGCAUGUACGUAUCCAUAUGAUCGAACCAGACUUGGACAGUGACGUCUGAAGCUGCACUGCGGCUUGCUUUGGUUGCGCGGCCAAGGCACAGUGGGUGGGUCGUCGACCCGGUCGCACCUUUACUGCUCAUGAUAACUCUGGGAAGUGGGGACUCGUUUCCAUGGAGGAGUAGUCCCUGUUGCAUUGCAUGGACGUACUACGUCGACCGUGUGUUGAUUCUGGAAUUUUGACUGCAUGCAUGUACGUGCUGAGGCUGACUCAUUCGAGGGUUCAGACCACAGGGAGAGCCGAGCCAACCAAGGAAGGAGCCGCCACGGCGACCACAAACCUGGAUUUUAGUACACUUGUGCAUGUGUACCAUAUAUUUUUCGAAUGCAACGGAUUUUCGCACUUGGACAGGAUUAAUUUCCACUUGCACGCUGCAAACUGGUCACAAGAAAAAACAUACGGUGCCCCACGAACUGAAAGUGCAUGCAUACCAUUCUUGUUCCGAACGAAGUACGACCGCGGACCGCCUGUACUUCAGUUCACGAAUGUCCAGAAAGCUCUACGUACUUCAGUUCACGCAUGACCAAUCCCACUUCAAUUUAAGUAAGAGCAACUUCAAUGGACCGACCCAAACAGACAUGCAUUUUGUUCAUUUUUUGUCCGUUUGAAUCGGCGAAACGGACAUCCGCGUUCGCUUUUCGGUUUGGGUCGCAUGUGCGCCCAAUAGGUGGCCUGACGCAUUUUUGCCAUGUCUGUCCUGGCAUUUCGUCGAACAUGUAGCAGGCAGCGGGGUUGGCAACGGCUAGACGGCCGAUGCCUUCAGCUACACAGGACCGGCGCGCCUGCUGCGACCUGGCCACCGCCCCCGCGCCUCCAGCCCGGUCGCGCCGGCCGCGGCCGUGCCUGUUCGAGCCGGCUCACUAGUCUUCCCGCGCCUGAGUCACUCCUCCUCGCCCCGCCAAGGCUGCUUCGCGCGCUGCCUGCUCCGCCCCGUGCCCGGCGGCGCCCUUCCCCUGCGCCGCGGCGCCGCGCGGNNNNNNNNNNNNNNNNNNNNNNNNNNNNNNNNNNNNNNNNNNNNNNNNNNNNNNNNNNNNNNNNNNNNNNNNNNNNNNNNNNNNNNNNNNNNNNNNNNNNNNNNNNNNNNNNNNNNNNNNNNNNNNNNNNNNNNNNNNNNNNNNNNNNNNNNNNNNNNNNNNNNNNNNNNNNNNNNNNNNNNNNNNNNNNNNNNNNNNNNNNNNNNNNNNNNNNNNNNNNNNNNNNNNNNNNNCGCGGCAGCACGGCGGCCGCCUUGGCCAGCACGUAUGACAUGGAUGCCGCGGUGCUCGCCGCCACCACCCACAGGUACGCGCCUCCUCCUCCCCCGCACAUCGUGGCAAGGGAUGAGCAGCGCGCGCGUGGCAGAGACGGCGGGCAGGUCGACGAGGAGCACGACGAGCAGGGGCGGCGCGCAGACGAGCAACGGCGAGGCGAGCAUGACGACGAGGAAGAAGGCCGUCUUGGCCCUCGGCUGCGCCCCCCAGCAGCCCGCGCCCUUCUCCGGCGCUACCCCGGCCCCGACCCUUCUCCGGCACUGUCCCACGGCGUGGUUGGUGGUCUGGAGCAGGGUGGGGGGGUGGGUGGGAGAAGAGAGAGGAAAGGAGGAGAGAGAUGAGAUGGGUGGUUGGAUGACAUGUGGGCCAUGCAGCACAUGUAGUGGGCAGAAGCGGACGAGGAGAGCAAAGAAAACGUCCGUUUUGUGUCCGCCGCCGACACUAGUGUGUCCCAAAUUUGAGACGAAAAUAGAUCCACGCGGACACAAAGCGGACGUGAAAUGAAAAUGGGUCUCUGCGUUGGGCAGUCUUUUUGUCCGUGCAGAUCCAAACAGACAUGGGCGGACGAAAUGUGUCGUCACAUUGGAGUUGCUCUAAUCGAGUACGAUUAUCGAUGGUCAUUUUCACCAUAAUUGAGCCCUUUUUAACACUACAAUAAAACCCGGAUCGGUCAUUUUCUCCGCGUGAUGCAACCACAACACUCAAGAGCAAGUGUCACACUGUCAACCGCACCAGGUAAUAAAAGUUCUCCAAAGCCUCUACGUCUACGCAUCACGCCACACUUUCGCGCAGGAGAUAUCCUUCUCCGAUGUUCAUGUGGCCGUCUUUCGUCUUCACCGCCGUUGCACGCAAUUGAAACACGCGGCAGACGUCUGCUUCCACCUUCCCUUGUUAACUUGCAGGUUACUGCCCAAUGAAACUCGACGGAGGAAAAUGAAGGCAUUGUGACAACCUGCUCGCCUCAUCUCCCGGUCAAAUCAGAAAUCCUACUAAAUAUCCUGUCUGUAAAUAUCUGCGAAUUUGAUAAGCCAACAGUCUAUUCUGGCAGCCGCUGUGAAAGCUCGAUGCAUGCAAAUUGCCAACGACGUGUUCAACUAUGGAGGAAAACUGGAAAAUUUGAGGGAUGAGACAAAACUUGAAUGGUUGGUGGCUGUAUGCACAAUCACUUUGAAGAUAUGAUAACAUACCGGUAACUUGGGAAGUAGUACAGUCCCGAAAGAACAAAGGCGCUGAGCUGUACUCCCUCCGUCCGAAAUUUACUUGUCAUAGAAAUGAAUAAAUAUGAGUGUAUCUAGAACUAAAAUGUGUCUAAAUAUAUUUAUUUUCCUGACAAGUAUUUCCGGACGGAAGAAGAAUAUCUUCAUAGGGAGAACAUCCAUGCGUUCUGUUAAUCAAAUGGUGCUGGAGAAAUAGGCCGUAUGCAGCAAGAUCCUCCACAUAGCAAACAAAGCGCGUGCCUACUUGAAGGACCAGGCUUUCAGCAGGACUAAUUCUUGAGAUGGCGCACGCCGUGUUCACUGAUGACCUCAACCUGCCGCAGCAAUAAACAAUAUUAGUGGGGGAGGCAGGCCGGCUGAUUCUACAUUAAGGUUAUGUUAGUAUGUAGACAGUUCAGACAAUCAUUCCAAUACUUCUGUUUCAGCCUGACUAGGCAACAGCAGUGGACAAACGAAGGUGGGAAGUAGGAACACAUGUAUACCAGCAAACCAUAUAAUAAUGUUUUAUGUACCGAGGACCGGUUGAUGUGUUUUGACUUGGUCCUCGCUGUUCAAAGGUGCACGUGCUUUCUUCAACAACGGCACAAACGGACAGAUACAUGUGAUGCAAGAACUGAUAUGUACAUUUCUUUUUAACGGAAAAGCACUCAUUUCUUUUUCAAAAAUUUUGAAAAAAUACAGAUAUACAUGAAGGCAUAACACAUGUGUGUGUAAAUUUUUAGAGCAAAAUACGUUGAAAUGAGGGUUGUGCAAAAAAAACAAAAAACAAAUCUAAGGCUUUUUAACACAUGAUACUAUUCAUCAUCCCAGGCCAUGAAUUAUCUUUUUUAUAUAGAUCGUAAUUCAGUGUAUUUCAUCAUAAAAAAUUACACAUAUACACAUAACAUCCUUGUUUAUUUGCACAAAUUUUUUCAUAUUUUUCUGAAACCGGAAAGUUUGAAUUUUAUUUUAUUUUUCAAAAAUUCUGAGCUCCAGUGGGCUCGGUCACCAAACAUCCGUACUCAACAGACACUACAACUAAAAGUUACAUUGAAGUCCAUGGGGUCGAUCGCCUUUGUCCUCCUGAAUGGGCCGAUGGUUUCCUGACGCAUGUUGCUCCGCUGCCGGAGCCGGUCUGUCAUUGUUGAACGUGAAUAGAAAGUCAUCAAGGCUAUGGUCCUGCCAGGUCAACGUCCUCAAGAAGAAACCGUUACCGCUAGAACAACAGUAGAUCCAAGAGUCAAACCUAUAUUAUAUCUCACAGACCUCACGUGGAGGAUGCACCGACAUGACGGAGAUGAAGCCGGAGGACCAAACUGCAAAGGGAAGUCUUUGAUGUCGCCGCGCCAACAAACCCUGUGGACCAUAAUCUCACUGGUUCAAACUACCGCCAGGAAAAUACGCCAACGAGAUGGGAAGGCUCGACGGAAUAUUAUUCGCCAGAAAACCGCUGCCCAUAUAAUACUUGUUGAGCCCUGCUGCCACCACCGCGGGAAGGGCCGAAGCGACGGAGAAUGGAAACCUACCUAAAGAACCCAAAUCAGGGAAAUCAACAUCUCCUUCUGGUAGAUCGUGGCGUCCCGCAUUCCCACACCGGCCCUGAUUGUUAGUACUCCAUUGUUAUGUUGUUGACCUUUUGACCCCAAUUCUUGUACUACUACCUUCGAUGCAAAAUUCCUACCUUUUUAGAACUUUACCAUUCAAAUGAAUCUAGCUAGUUCGACCAACUAGAUAAACAAAACCUUUUAACAUAGAAAUAUCAAAUUGAUAUGACUAGAUUUGUCAUGCAUGAAAUAUAAUUAAAAUGUGUAAUUGUUUUUUGGUCAAGUAACAUGUGUUGCAAAUAAAUUGAUGGUAAAAGUACCGUGUUGGAGAUUGUGUAAUUUCCUAAGACAACUUACAUUUUGAACCGAAGGAAAUAGUUUCCCAUAUACACAUUUCAAAUAUCUUAAAUAUGAAUAUGUACAUGUCCGGGAGAACCUGAGAUGCUGCUCUUUCACUUGUACACAUGAUGCAAUAUCAAUGUCAACAAAGUCACCGAUACUUAUACACAACUAUCAUAUAUACAUCUUGAUGGCAAAAGGACAUCAAUGAUUGUCACAGAUAAAGGGCGCUUCUAUUCACUCAUGUCGUCACAUUAAGAAGAUACAAGCAACAUGAGUUCAUACCCGGCCUAUGCAUAGGUAUGUGCCUAUGCAUAGGUAUGAUGCACAUAGCCCAAAAGGAGAAGAAAAAAAGCCGAAAGGCAAAAACAUCACGCCUAAUUACUUUGUCUAUGUUAAAAUGAUACUAUGUUAACAAAAUAAUUUACAGCUUGCUAUGUGGAGUGUGUUGGGUAACGUAGCAAUAAUUCAAAAUUUUCCUACGUGUCAUCAAGAUCAAUCUAGGAGAUACUAGCAACGAGAGAGAGGGAGUGCAUCUUCAUACCCUUGAAGAUCGCUAAGCGGAAGCGUUCAAGAGAACGGGGUUGAUGGAGUCGUACUCGUCGUGAUCCAAAUCACCGAUGAUCCUAGCGCCGAACGGACGACACCUCCGCGUUCAACACACGUACGGAACGGAGAGACGUCUCCUCCUUCUUGAUCCAGCAAGGGAAGAGGAGAGGUUGAUGGAGAUCCAGCAGCACGACGGCGUGGUUGUGGAAGCAGCGGGAUCUUGGCAGGGCUUCGCCAAGCACCAACGAGAGGGAGAGGUGUCACGGAGGGAGAGGGAGGCGCCAGGGACUUGGGUGCGGCUGCCCUCCCUCCCCCCACUAUAUAUAGGACCCCUAGGGGGGCGCCGGCCCUAGGAGAUCCAAUCUCCAAGGGGGGGCGGCGGCCAAGGGGGGGACUUGCCCCCCAAGUCAGGUGGGGCGCCCCCCACUCCUAGGGUUUCCAACCCUAGGCGUAGGGGGAGGCCCAUGGGGGGCGCACCAGCCCACCAGGGGCUGGUUCCCCUCCCACUUCAGCCCAUGGGGCCCUCCGGGAUUGGUGGCCCCACCCGGUGGACCCCCGGGACCCUUCCGGUGGUCCCGGUACAAUACCGAUUACCCCCGACACUACUAAGAAAAGGGCUAUAGAUAGGAUUGACACUAGUGACGCACCAGGGAAGUAGUGCGCCACUACUAUAUACUAAUGGCGCACCAGUUGGUGAUGCGUCAUUAGUGUGGAAGACACUAAUGGCGCACCAGAAAACUGGUGCGCCACUAGUGAUAAUUUUUUUUUCAUUUUUACAUACAUACUAAUGGCGCAUCCUACCUCUGGUCUAACUAGUAAUGACGCACCAGACAUGGAGUGCGCCAGUACUGAAUUUUUUUUAUUCUUUUUUUUGCAAAACUACUAAUGGCGCAUCGCCUCACCAGUGCGCCAUUACUAGUUUAAACUACUAAUGGCGCAUCCUGUAAAAGUGCGCCAUUAGNNNNNNNNNNNNNNNNNNNNNNNNNNNNNNNNNNNNNNNNNNNNNNNNNNNNNNNNNNNNNNNNNNNNNNNNNNNNNNNNNNNNNNNNNNNNNNNNNNNNNNNNNNNNNNNNNNNNNNNNNNNNNNNNNNNNNNNNNNNNNNNNNNNNNNNNNNNNNNNNNNNNNNNNNNNNNNNNNNNNNNNNNNNNNNNNNNNNNNNNNNNNNNNNNNNNNNNNNNNNNNNNNNNNNNNNNNNNNNNNNNNNNNNNNNNNNNNNNNNNNNNNNNNNNNNNNNNNNNNNNNNNNNNNNNNNNNNNNNNNNNNNNNNNNNNNNNNNNNNNNNNNNNNNNNNNNNNNNNNNNNNNNNNNNNNNNNNNNNNNNNNNNNNNNNNNNNNNNNNNNNNNNNNNNNNNNNNNNNNNNNNNNNNNNNNNNNNUUCUGCAAAACUACUAAUGGCGCACCACCUGCAGGUGCGCCAUUAGUAACCAGGGUUACUAAUGGCGCAUUUGCAGGUGGUGCGUCAUUAGUAACCUGGGAUCCCAACAAGAGAUAUUUUGGACAGCCCCACACCUACCCACUCACUUUCCCCACUUCAUUUUCUCCACCUCCUUCUCCAAGCUUUUGGCUGCCUCCUCCUCCUCACCUCAUUUCCACCAUAGAUUCAUCAAAAUUAAGUGGUGAAAUUACCUUUUUUAUAUAGGUAAGUAAGGGGAAAGCUAUCUUCAUGAUGUAGAUCUACUUUUUUUCUCCCUAGCUCGCUCCAACAACGUGCACAUGCACUUUUUGUGGCCUAGCUAGAUCUAUGUAUGUUUAUGGUGUUGCAUGUGUUUGUGGUGUUGCAUAUAUGUUUGUGUUUGCAGGUACCGGUAUUUGAAAUGCGAUAGUUGCCAAUAUUUUGCCGGAAUGUUGAUUCAUUUCCGUUUCGGCGAGAAUUUUGGCAUUAUGCAUUCUUUUUGGUCCUAUUUUUAGGGAAGGUCAUGCCAAUUUUUUUCUUGGUUCUAAAAUAUCGUUUUGCUCUACCCCGCAGGCGACCAUGGUCCGCACGAUGACCAAAGGCAUCGUGAAUAGGUUUUUGAGCUCUGCGAAGGCCGAGAUGCUUCAAAAGAACGAGACGGAGAUAAGAUGUCCGUGUCGAAGAUGCAAGCUGAAGAGCCUUAUUGCGGACCCGGAUUCCGUGCAGGUGCGGGACCACCUGCUCUUGCGUGGUUUCAUGGAUGGCUAUCGGUGGUAAGGUGAUGAAGAUGACUAUGAAGUCGUCCAUGGGGGCCGGGCAAGAAAUGAGGAAGGGCAACAAGACAAGUACCACCGCGGCGAGGGCGGGCGAGAAGACGAAGAAUCUCCAGGACAUGAUCACGACGGUGAUGCUGUACACAGUCAUCAUGUAGAAGAUGUCGUACAUGAUGAUGAGGAAGAUCAAGACGAAGGGCAUGAUCAUGAAGAUGAAGAUGCCGGAGCAGACGAUGAUGGAGGCUGGGUGCAGGACCCUCAUAUUCAAGAGCUGCUUCUCAAGCAGACGGAUAACACAAGAGCUGCCGCCCGAGAGAAAGCCAAGCUAGAUCAAUUGGAGAUAGACGUGGUUACUCCAUUGUAUGAAGGAUGCAGGCCCGAGGAUACCCGCCUGAAAGUAACGCUCAUGGCUCUGGAGAUGAAGGUAAAACACAAAAUGACCGACGCAUGCUUCAACGAGAACAUGUCAUUCUGGCACGAACGUCUUCCCAAGGGGAACAAGUGCCCGACCAGUUUCGAGGAGGCGAAGAAAAUCAUGUGUCCUCUGGAUUUACCGCACGUGAAAUACCAUGUGUGCAUGAACAAUUGCAUCAUUUAUCGGGACAAGCACACGAAGUCUACCAUAUGUCCAGUGCGCGGCGUCACUCGAUACAAGAAGAGGAAGAAAGCUCCUCGAAAAUCGUUGUGGUACUUUCCGAUCACUCCUCGUCUGCAGCGGUAUUUCGCGGACCCUAAGGUAGCAAAGCUCCUGCGUUGGCACGCGGAUACGGAGGAGAAGAAGCGGGAAGAUGACGGAAAUGAUCCGGAGAUAAAUAAAAAAGACAAGAUGCUGAGUCACCCUAAGGAUGCGAGCCAGUGGCAAGCGUUGAACUUCGAAUACCUAGGAUUUGGGAAGGAUCCAAGGAACAUCAUGCUGGGCGCGAGCACCGACGGAGUCAAUCCGUUUGGCAGCCAGAGAAGCACACAUAGCACGUGGCCUGUGUUUGUAUGGAUGUACAACCUUCCCCCUGGUUGUGCAUGAAGAGGAAGUACAUUCACAUGAGUAUGCUAAUUGAAGGGCCGAAACAACCAGGGAACGACAUCAAUCUGUAUCUGGGGCUGCUGAAAGAGGAGCUAGACACGCUGUGGAAAACACCAGCCAAUACGUGGGACGCCGUAGAGAAAGAAUAUUUCCCUAUGAGAGCCGCACUGCUCACGACGGUGCACGACUAUCUCGGUUACGAAUAUCUCGUUGGGCAGGUAGUCCACGGAUUUUCUGGAUGCGUAAGGUGCAUGGAUGACACAACAUAUCGCCAGCUAGAUAGAGAUCCCGGAUCUUCGAGAACCGUGUUCAUGGGGCAUCGAAGGUGGCUUCGCGAUGAUGACCCGUGGAGGAAAUGCAAGGAUCUGUUCGAUGGUGAAACCAAACCCCAAAAACGCCCGCGUACGAGGAGCGGCGAGGAAAUAGACGAGUUGUUGAAAAAUUGGAAAGAUUGCCCACUGCCGGGAAAGAAGCAAAAGGCGCCAGAGCCGGGAAAGAAGCGAAAGGCCCCAGAGCCGCUGCUGAAGGUAUGGAAAACGAGGUCUGUUUUCUGGGACUUGUCGUACUGGAAGAUCCACCGUGUGCCUCACAGCCUUGAUGCCAUGCAUAUCAUGAAGAACGUGUGCGAGAGUCUGCUUGGUACCCUGCUCAACAUGCCAGAGAGGACCAAAGAUGGGCCGAAAGCAAGGGCAGACUUGAAAUCAAUGGGCAUCAGGCAGGAGCUUCACGCUAAUGAUGAUGAUGAUGAUGAUGAUGAUGAUGAUGAUGAUGAUGAUGAUGAGGCGAAGCAGGACACAGAAACUCGUCGCAAAGGCAAAAAGGCCAAGAGGACCGGAAGUGACUACCCUCCCGCGUGCUUCACUCUAAGUCAGGAGGAGAUCGAGCAGUUUUUCACCUACCUCGUAGGAGUAAAACUUCCUUACGGUUACGCGGGGAAGAUAAGCAGAUACCUAGACCCAGCGAAGCAGAAGUUCAGCGGGAUGAAGUCUCACGACUGUCACGUGCUGAUGACGCAGAUACUUCCAGUUGCAAUCCGUGGGAUCAUGGACGCGCACGUCCGUGAAAUGCUAUUUGGCCUAUGCAACUUUUUCGACGUCAUCUCUCGGAAGUCGAUUGGCAUGAGGCAACUCAGAAGGCUACAGGAAGAGAUCGUGGUGAUACUAUGUGAGCUUGAGAUGUACUUCCCGCCCGCAUUCUUCGAUGUUAUGGUGCAUCUGCUGGUCCAUAUCGUGGAGGAUAUCAUCCAACUCGGGCCGACGUUCCUGCACAGCAUGAUGCCGUUCGAAAGGAUGAAUGGUGUCAUCAAAGGAUACAUUCGCAACAUGUCACGUCCAGAGGGAAGUAUAGCCAGGGGCUUUCUGACCGAAGAGUGCGUCUCCUACUGCACGAAUUAUCUAGGCAUCGAGAACCCCGUUGGUCUGCCCAUCAACAGGCACCUCGGCAGGCUCGCUGGAUGGGGUCACCGUGAGGGUCGCCGUGAAAUGCAUGUCGACUUCGAGGGUCGACUCGCCGACUUUGAAAGAGCAAACCUAGUCGCGCUACAACACAUAGACGUGGUCGAUCCUUGGGUGGUAGAGCACAAAACCUUUAUUGAGAAGACGUACAAUGACCGAGGCCAACAGAGGACGGACGGAGAUAUAAUCAAAGAGCACAACUCAUGUUUCACGCGUUGGUUCAAGCAGAAGCUUCUGUCGUACCCUUUACAUGAGGAUUCUUCCGUGGAAGAACAACUCAUAUUCGCCUUGUCACAGGGCGCCGAGCACAACCUGAUGACCUAUGAGGCGUACGAUAUCAACGGCUACACAUUCUACACCGAGGACAAGGACAUGAAGAGCGAUGGUUAUCAGAACUCCGGGGUAACGAUGGAAUCCUACACCGGUAACGACAAGGACAGAUACUACGGAAGGAUCGAGGAGAUCUGGGAGCUGAGCUACGCUGGAGAGAAGGUCCCGAUGUUCCGUGUUAGAUGGGCCAAGAGCGUCCUAAAAGAAGACCGGUAUUUCACCACCAUGGUUAUACCCGAAGCCAAAUCCAAGACCGCGGGCGCAAACAUCACCGCGAAAAAUGAGCCAUGGGUACUGGCUUCCCAAGUGAACCAAUGCUUCUUCAUUACCGACCCAUCAAAGCCCAGUCGUGUUAUCAUGAGAAGAGGCAAAAGGAAGAUCAUCGGAAUGGAUGGAGUAGCCAAUGAGCAAGACUUCGACAAGUACGGCGACCCGAAGAUCGAACAUGACGACGACGAUGAAGUAGCAACACACACCACAAGAAGAAGCAGGACCACCCUACCUAAAGGACGUCCGUUCCACAGAAGAACUCCAUUUGUGAAAAAGAAGGGCAAGACGAUUGUGAACAGAUAGCUAGCUAAGAUCGAUUGUAUUUAAAUCGUAGUCUUCAUUUCUCGAUUGUAUUUCAUGGGCACUUUUUGAUAUCAUGAAUAUUUUUAAAUUUCACGGGCACUUUUUGAAUUCAUGAGGACACUCGAUCUCGAUCCCCCUCCACCGCCGCCGACGAGCACCCGCCCCCCCGCACCCUCCCCCGCUCCACCGCCGCCAACGGGCACCCCCCGCACCCUCCCCCGCUCCACCGCCGCCGCCGAUCAUAUUUUCAAGUAACACAUUUGAAUAUAUUUUUUAAAAAAUUAUUACUGUUUUUAUAAAAAAUAUUACUGUUAUGAUUUAAACAAGUUUGAACAUAUUUAAACACAAAUAAAUAUCAAACAACAUUUAAAAUGCAAAAAAAAUAUUGCGGAGCCUGGAAAUCGAACCUAGGACCUCCUGGUGUGUGUGCUGGGUACUGACCAGUCGGGCUAGUGGGCAGGUUCUGAUGUGGAUUGGGUUAGGUGCAAUAUAACAUGUGCUCGAACUGUAAUAAAAAAAAUUCUAAUGGCGCACCGCUGUGGGGUGCGCCAUUGCUAUCUAAAAAAAGAUUUCUAAUGGCGCACCGCUGUGGGGUGCGCCAUUGCUAUCUAAAAAAAAGAUUUCUAAUGGCGCACCACUGCGGGGUGCGCCAUUGCUAUCUAAAAAGAGAUUUCUAAUGGCGCACCGAGGUCUGGUGCGCCAUUAGUAAGCUUCCCCCUAGCUAUCUCCUUCGACCCUCUCUCCCUCGCCACCAGAUCCCCAUCGAUUGAUCGACCCACCCCAACCCAACCCCAAAAGCGAGCGAGCGACCGCCUAGGGUUUCGACCGCUGCCGUCCGCCGUGCCUCAUCCUCCCGUCUGUCGCCUUCGCCGUUCCGUCGCCCCGUCGCCCUCGCCGCUCCGUCGCCCUCGCCGCUCCGUCACCCCGUCGCCCUCGUCGCUCCGCCCCAACCAAGGUGCUCCCUCCAACCCGCCUGCCCCUGCCGUCCUCCGCCACCGGCCCCCUGCUCUCCUUCGACCGCGGCAAGCGAGGAACCGGACGAGCUCGGACCCCGACCCCGACCCCAACCCCUCCGGCGACCAGGUACCUCUCCUUCUUCCUCCUUCCUCCCUUUCUCCACCAUUCCCCAUUCCCUCCCUCCCCUCGACCGUGGCAGUCUAUGGUUGCAAGAUUGGGGAGGGCCUCCUCCUUCCUCCUUUUCCACUGCUGGUGGCAACAUCCUCAACCCCCCGUCUUUUUUUCAUUUUUGUUAGUUUGAUUAUCUGUAAAUUGAUGUGACAUGACCCAGUAGAGGCACAUCCAAAUAUUGUGUUUAGUUUUCUCACCCCAAAUUGCAUCCCAUGACCCAGUAGACUAGCACAGAUGACAUGCCAUGACCUAGUGCACUAGUAGAAAUGUCAUGGCAAAUUUCACCACCAUUCUGUACCAUGGUAUUUUUGUGAUAUGUAGUUUUUGAUCUGGUUUAGAACUGGUAGGGGUAUUCUAGGGCAAUUUCCAAUAUGCGGUGAAUGGCAAAUUUAGAUUCGUUCCACCACAAUUUUUCCAUUUUGUUUUUAGGGAGAACCAAAUUUUUCCGCGGCAAAUUCAUACGUUCUGCCAUCACUACAUAUGAGUUCUUUCUUGCCAUGUCGUAGUUGCCAUCAAGUUUUACAUUUCUGUCAUAGUUUUGACGUGUCAAUCGCAUUAUUUCUUCAAGCUGAUGCAUUGAUUAUGCCUUUGAGGCAGUUAGUUAACCUCUCACCUAUGUUCAUGCAGGGAUAUUAUUCUUGGAAAAGCUACUGUUGCUGACGGAAUAGAAAGAUAAGCAGGUACCUAUCUUCAGUCCCAAUCUAACAGGGUAGUCCAUGGAUUCAAACUAGCUAAAGGAGAUUCAAACUGCCGAACCUUUAGGUUAACAACUCGACACAAACCAAUCCCUGAAAGCAAAAACUCAACACAAACCAAGUGCAUUAUUUUUGUGACUGUUUUCAUGUUUGCAGAACCAAUAUUUUUGUGCCAACAAUCAGUUUACUCCCUCAUGCCAACAACCACUCAUUUUUCAGUUAACUCCUUACAGUUCAAAUCAUAUUUUGAUUGUCAACAAUAGUGGACUUUUAAGGCUUUUUUAGAGGCAAUACUAGUGGAUAUUAGGCCUUUUUACAGGCAAUAAUAGUGGAAUUUUAGGCUUUUUUUGGAGGAGUGUGUUUCAUGCUGGCCUACAUUGAUGAAUUAGUCGGAAUUGUGUAUGAUUGUGCCUAAAGUAGAUAAUCUAAAGAUACAGACAAAAUAAUUAGGGCAGCAUGUGUGAAUCUAAAGUAUAUUGUCAACUUCCAACAUUUGCUCUGUUGUCCAUGUGGUUGAAGCAAUGAAGUUGAGUGUGUCAUUCUUGAGCUGAAAUAGAACUUGACAGCCUGUACAGUGAAUAUAUGCAGUGAACAGAAAUUGACAGGUUUUCUUGACUGAAUUCAGUCCUGUACAGUGAAUAUAUGCAGUCAAUAUACAAUCAUUGUAAUUUUUGGGAGUAAUUUUUGGUGUCAAAUCACUCAAGCAGUAAUUGAAUUUUCAAACUGAACUUGACACAAUACUAUUCAGUUAAUUUGCUUGGACAGUAGUAUGUAUGCUCAUCACUUUAUGUAUGGUGUUAUGCCCUAUUAUCUCUGUUCAGUUGACUAAUGAAGCACUAGGCUCAUCCAUGGUACAAGUUCACCUGUGAACACUUGAAAUUAGUUAGGACAUCCCGUACUGAUAGAUGUAAAUUGUGUCCAGUAGGCUUUGAAGCACCGGUUUUUCCUGUUUCUAACUCUGAAUCUGAUAUAAACCAUACUGUUGGCAUAAGUGGUCUUUUGUAUAUGUGCUGAUGCUUUGUUAAUAUAAAGCUAUAGAUGAUGUUGUACUUGUGAUGAUGCUACUUGUGAUCUUCUGAAAUAACCCAUUGGCGACUUCAUUACGCGGGGAUAAUGAUAUUGCAGGUAUCCCGAGAGGCCCUUGAGUUUGCCGGAAUGUCGAUUAACUUCCGUUCCGGCAAAUUCGGGUACUUCAUAUGUCCUAUUUUCAGCAAAGGUCAUGCUGAAAUUUUCCGUGAAUUUUAGCAUGAAUUUGCUAAAAAUAGGACAUAUGGGGUACUUGCGACUAAUGCAUGGGCCAGGGUAUCUUAGUACUUAGUUAAGUAGGAUCAACUGCCCCGCCAUUCUUGCUGCAUAGGUGGCAAUAGAGCCAAGUGAUUAGUGCCAAGUGAUUAGGUCCAACCUAGGGUGCCUCGGCAUCGAUAAACCCUAAAUGAUGAAAACUUAACUUAGCAUUUAGGGUGCCUCGGCGUCGACAAACCCUAAAUGAUGAAACCUUGGCUUCUAUAGGGUGCCUCGGUGUCGAUGAGAACCUAAAUGAUGUACGCUUAGGCUUUUAGGGUGCCUCGGCGUCGACAAACCCUAAAUGAUAAAAGCUUAGCUUUUAGGAUGCCUCGGUGUCGACAAACCCUAAAUGAUGAGACCACGAUCUUGUUCCUUGACAAUAACCAACUUUUUGACCAAACUUUUUUCCUAUUUAGAGGGAAACAUGGCCCACAAUGAUGAGGCCGGCGGUUCGGGCGACAAGCAAUUCUGGGAGCUGUCCCAGGAGUUGGAGGAAGAACCUCACCGCUAUGAGGACGCCGCGGAAGACACCGAUCCUGACUACACAAGCCCUAGUGGCAUCGGGGAUGACACCACUGAUGAUGGCGCCGCGGAUGCCACCACUGACGAUGGCGGCGCACGCACAGAUGGCAGCCAACCGAAGAGGCAACGGAAGGACCGGCGCCCGAACGUGCUCGGCACCGCCAGGGAGGAAUUUACUGAAGUGAACUCCGACGGGCAUCCGACAGCGCCCAAACACAUAGCCAAGGGGUACUCGAUUCAGCUCGGGUGCAUUCUCCGGAGCACUGCCUUGAUCAACACCGAGAACCUAAGGCAUAAGGACCGAGGGAAUUUGCGCAGCCUCCUCUUCACAAAGCUACACGAACGAUACAAGUUCCCCGCUGAGUUCGCAAACACACGCCUCUCGGGUAAUAAAGUGAACGGUGCCGCCCUCACGACGAUGAGCACGGCUCUGUCUACUUGGAAAAGCACGGUGAAGGCAAUGAUUGACAAAGGUGAUAGUUAUGAGAAGAUCAAGGCAAAAUAUCCUUUGAUGAGCGAAGAUGACUACAAGGAGUUAAAGAUCAAGUGCGAGAGCCCCGCAACCUCCGAAUCAAGUCAGUGGGGGAAAGAAAUGUGGUAGUUGAACAUAGGGGUCCACCAACUCGGUCCCAGCGGUUACAGAGUGGCGGAGCCUGUAUGAGACAAGGAGGACGCGGAGCGUGCCGAGAAAGGCCUACCGCCCCACUUCGAGAAAUACAGUGACAAGCAGACCAGGAACUUUCUCAGGGCCCGGUACAAGGAGGACCCGGUAACAAAGGAGCUUACCACGGAUCUGAAGACCAAGGAGCUUGAGCUUGUUCUGGUAAGGAAUACACCCCCGCGUAAUUAGCUCCAUAUGGUUGCAUUCUAAUUAAUCCCCAAUAUUUCUAAAUGGUUCACGUUCCUUCCGCAGGACAAAGAAAGCAGUAGCGCGGGGUCGUCUCAGAGCUCCCCUUUCGACACCCCUUUGAAUAGGGCAUUGAACAUAAUGAAAAACAGGGAUAAGCUUAAUAAGCCGACGUCAGCUGGUCGUGUGGCCGGCAAAGGCUUGUCCACAAAAUGGUCGUCAUACUAUGGCGCUGGUGGGCGAAAGGAGAAAACGACCAGCUCGGAAAGCCAGUCGCGCGAGGUUGAAGCACUCAAGGCGCAAGUGGCGCGGAUUCCGGAGAUGGUCCAAGAGCAAGUGCAACAACAACUGGGAUCGACGCUUACCGGCAUUAUGCCUACCUUGAUUCAUGGGAUAACGACGUGGAUUGCGGGUGGCCAACAGGGGCCGCCCCCGAUUCCCAGCUUCACGGCCAGCAACUCACACAACGCGCAGGCGGCGCCAUUGGUGUCUCCGGCGGCGGCGGUAUUGGUGUCUACGGCGGCGGCACCAUUGGUGUCUCCGGCGGCGGCGAUAUUGGUGUCUCCGACACCGGCAUUGGAGCUUAAUGCACCCGGGUGUACGCCGGCCGGCACCUCGCCAGCAAGCGGCCCCUCCGUCAGUUGCACGCCCGCCGUUGGCGGUGCCUCGACAUUAGCUGAGCUCGACAGCAUCACGGUAACUAAGCCUCUCGGCUGAGGACUUCAUCUCCUUGCCUUUGACUGGGCAUCCCUGACGCCCUACAUGUUUUCGCAGGGCGCCGCCAACGUUCCUUGCACUCUCCUGCACUUCGUGGGCGGCAAGUUGGUCGAUGUCGCCAAGGGCAGAAUCGUUCAACCGGGCAUCCCCGUGUUCCACGGUAAUCCGAUGCCACCCACAAUGUAUAGGGUUGAAGUGGUUCGGGUGCUGCCAGGCUGCGACGAGCUGUUACCUCCGAUUCGACCUGCUGGGGCCGACGAAGAAGAUGAGAUGACCCUCAGCGCCUGCGUAAGCUGUCCCCUGCUUUGGCCGAAGAGCCAGAUUCGUUUAGGGGCGGGGGACACCACCCCACAGACAAGACCGCCAGUCGUGCCAGCGCCAAGCCAUGGCAAGAACGUCGCAACGCUACAGGACAUGCCGGACAUCCCUAUGGCACAGGAUCCGGACAUGCAUAUGGCACAGGAUCCGGACGACGACGACAACGACAAUGGUACAUUUACCAACGUUGAUAAGUACUUUGCCGAACAUGGGUACGGUGACGAGUUCUGCGGGCCUCCUUCUCAAGAACCCAAACAAGACGACCGCGAUCUAGCUGGUACGACGGAGAAACCCAAUUGCAACAGGCGUCGUCUGGCGUUCAGUUCUCAGGAGACGCCUCCAGCUGCCGCCUUCACCGAGCCUCAGAUAGCGGAGGUGCCAAAUAUUAUCAGCCCCAACACGCUCAAGAAGGCGGUCUGUGAGCAGAACUCGGUCCCAUUACAGCAGAUCAAGAAGAAGGGCCGGAAAUGGCCGACUAAAAAGGCCGCCGGUGCGAGCCAGCCGGCACCGAGUACGAUCCGUGCUCAGGACGGGCCACCUUCACCUAAGGAUAUCUCGAGGAGGGUGCAUGUGGCGGGUAGGGCGAUGCUACCGGCAAAUAUGCUCAGUGCUGCAACUGGUGCUAUGCGGAGUCUGCAUGACAGUGUUCUUUCUUUGGAGAAGCGGCGUCUCAGAGAGAAUGAUGUGGCAUACCCGGUUUUCGUGGCCAAGGUGCCAGAGGGCAAGGGCUUUGUGGAUGGCGCCAUCGGGGGUACGAUCGUCCUGCGGUUUGAUGACAUCUUUGCUAUGUUCAACCUUCAUCCGCUACACUACACCUUCGUUCGGCUGUUUUCGCUGAGUAUGGAGAUGCGGAUCAUUAGAGACAAGACCCCGGACAUCGUGAUCGUCGACCCCUUCUACAUGCGUGCCAAGCUCUUGAGCAGCGCUGGGGACCGCCAAGUCGCGAGUUCACACCUCGAAGACGUCAUUCUGGCAAACCCAGAUAAGGAUAACUUCCUCGUGCCUUACUUUCCCGAGUAAGUAAUCCCUUAACCGCCCCGUAACAUAUGAUUUCUUAGAUUUCGAUCGUUCUUUUUUUCUUCUAACAUUCCGUGUUCUGUGCAGUGACACACAUUGCACACUCAUCCUCUUAAGACCGAAAUAUUCCAUGGCCACGUAUUUCGACCCGAACCGUAACUCCAAGAUAGACUACACAAAUAUCAAGAAAGUUCUUGAUGAUGUUCUCCCUGGCUACGCUAAUUCUGGAGGCACCUUCAUCAGGGCAGUUCGUAAGUACGGCAAGCACGUGUUCGCCCACAAUACGACGUUCUGCUGCGUCAAGCAGCCGCCUGGCGGUCAGAAGGAUGCCUACUAUGCCCUCCAUCACAUGCAGGCGAUCGUAAGGGACCAUCAUCACCUUCUGCUACCAAAUAAUCUCAAAGAUUGGGCCGCGAGCUUGUCGGCAAUCCAGGACGCGGACAUCAGACAAGAAUUCUUUCGCAUCCAGUCGGAGUUUUCGAACAUCAUCCAUCAAGAUGUCCUUCAUACCUCGGGGCAGUUCUUCCUCAGAUAUCAACCGUCCAACAUUGAGAUAGACGGAAUGCUACAAAUGCAGGCUGACAACGCCCGUGAUUUCAUGACCAUCACGACAGACGACGGCUUCAUCCACGCUCAUGUCCAUGAGUCGAGUCGAAAGUAGUGAUGUGUAGUUCUGAAGCAUUGAUUGGCUCAUGUUGUAAUUAAACUUUAAUGAAUUGUAUGUCUCUUUGGUUUGGACAGUCGUUCAACUUAGAUGUAAUCGAUGCUAUUUAUUAGUAAGACCAUGAAUCGUGCUAUUAAUGUCUUGCUUUUCUCUUCCGAUCCUUUUGUUGCAUACUUAUAUAUUGCUUAUGUAUGUAUUGUCUGUUGUUUGGCUUGUGCAUAGAGAUGCCGUCGUAUGUCGUGUACAAGGGUAAGGUUCCCGGAGUCUACGACGACUGGGAGGAGUGUCGGAGACAGGUUCACCGUUUCAGCGGUAACAGUUACAAAGGGUACACCACUAGGGCGGAGGCCGAAUCUAGAUAUGCCCGCUAUCUAGCGGGAGAGAGGAGGGAGCGUUGGAGGAACCGGAUGAAGACCAGUUUGAUCACGAUGAUGCUCAUCGUGAUGACCGCAGCUCUCUUCUAUGUGAUGGUAGUUUAGAUGAUUGAUAUCGACUUGUAAUGUGAAGACAAACUCGAUACUCGCGGUCUCGAGACUUGUAAUGUUUUAUCUUUGUUCGGUCUUUUGAAUUCGGAGACUAAUAUGAUGAAUUGUAUUCAGAGACUAAUCUUCUAUUGUAUUCGAUGAAUUUGUUGUUGCUGUGUGCUACUGUCUAUAUUCUGUCAAAUAAUAUAUUUUGUAACCUGCGCAAAAAUCAGAAAAGUAAAAAAAACAAAUAUUCAUACUAAUGGCGCAUCACCACAAGGUGCGCCAUUAGUAUGCCAAAGGAUACUAAUGGCGCAUCAAUACAGAGUGCGCCAUUAGUAUGCCAAAGGAUACUAAUGGUGCAUCAAGACAGAGUGCGCCAUUAGUAUGCCAAGUAUACUAAUGGCGCAUCUAUCUGCAGUGGGCCAUUAGUGUGCCAAAGCACAUGGUUAAAUAUGGCCCCUAGGAGGCACACUAAUGGCGCAUGGUGUUAUAUACUAAUGGCGCACUGGAUGGUGCGCCAUUAGUAUACCAGAUACUAAUUGCGCACCAGUGGUGCGCCAUUAGUUAAAAUUACUAGUGGCGUGCUACUAAUGGCGCACCGGUGAUGCGCCAUUAGUAGGCAAAACCGGUGCGCCAUUAGUAGGCCUUUUCCUAGUAGUGUGAAACUUUCCCGAUGGCCGAAACUGGACUUCCUAUAUAUAAAUCUUCACCUCCAGACCAUUUCGGAACUCCUCGUGACGUCUGGGAUCUCAUCCGGGACUCCGAAAAACUUUCGGGUUACCGCAUACUAAUAUCUCUACAACCCUAGCAUCACCGAACCUUAAGUGUGUAGACCCUACGGGUUCGGGAGACACGCAGACAUGACCGAGACGACUCUCCGGUCAAUAACCAACAGCGGGAUCUGGAUACCCAUGUUGGCUCCCACAUGUUCCACGAUGAUCUCAUCGGAUGAACCAGGAUGUCGAGGAUUUAAUCAAUCCCGUAUACAAUUCCCUUUGUCUAUCGGUACGAUACUUGCCCGAGAUUUGAUCGUCGGUAUCCCGAUACCUCGUUCAAUCUCGUUACCGGCAAGUCUCUUUACUCGUUCCGUAACAUAUCAUCCCGUGAUCAACUCCUUGGUCACAUUGUGCACAUUAUGAAGAGUUGUAUAUGAUGCAACCGGAAGAUUUUGUCGAUCCAAAGGGAGCUAACAAAGUGUGCAAGCUCCAGCGAUCCAUUUAUGGACUGGUGCAAGCCUCUCGGAGUUGGAAUAAACGCUUUGAUAGUGUGAUCAAAGCAUUUGGUUUUGUACAGACUUUUGGAGAAGCCUGUAUUUACAAGAAAGUGAGUGGGAGCUCUGUAGCAUUUCUGAUAUUAUAUGUGGAUGACAUAUUACUGAUUGGAAAUGAUAUAGAAUUUCUGGAUAGCAUAAAGGGAUACUUGAAUAAGAGUUUUUCAAUGAAAGACCUCGGUGAAGCUGCUUACAUAUUGGGCAUUAAGAUCUAUAGAGAUAGAUCAAGACGCUUAAUUGGACUUUCACAAAGCACAUACCUUGAAAAAGUUUUGAAGAAGUUCAAAAUGGAUCAAGCAAAGAAAGGGUUCUUGCCUGUGUUACAAGGUGUGAAGUUGAGUAAGACUCAAUGUCCGACCACCGCAGAAGAUAGAGAGAAAAUGAAAGAUGUUCCCUAUGCUUCAGCCAUAGGCUCUAUCAUGUAUGCAAUGCUGUGUACCAGACCUGAUGUGUGCCUUGCUAUAAGUCUAGCAGGGAGGUACCAAAGUAAUCUAGGAGUGGAUCACUGGACAACGAUCAAGAACAUCCUGAAGUACCUGAAAAGGACUAAGGAUAUGUUUCUCGUAUAUGGAGGUGACAAAGAGCUCAUCGUAUAUGGUUAUGUAGAUGCAAGCUUUGACACUGAUCCGGACGAUUCUAAAUCGCAAACCGGAUACGUGUUUAUAUUGAACGGUGGAGCUGUCAGUUGGUGCAGUUCUAAACAAAGAGUCGUGGCGGGAUCUACAUGUGAAGCGGAGUACAUAGCUGCUUUGGAAGCAGCAAAUGAAGGAGAUCGGAUGAAGGAGUUCAUAUCCGAUCUAGGUGUCAUACCUAGUGCAUCGGGUCCAAUGAAAAUCUUUUGUGACAAUGCUGGUGCAAUUGCCUUGGUGAAGGAAUCCAGAUUUCACAAGAGAACCAAGCACAUCAAGAGACGCUUCAAUUCCAUUCGGGAUUUAGUCCAAGUGGGAGACAUAGAAAUUUGCAAGAUACAUACGGAUCUGAAUGUUGCAGACCCGCUGACUAAGCCUCUUCCACGAGCAAAACAUGAUCAGCACCAAGGCUCCAUGGGUGUUAGAAUCAUUACUGUGUAAUCUAGAUUAUUGACUCUAGUGCAAGUGGGAGACAGAAGGAAAUAUGCCCUAGAGGCAAUAAUAAAGUUAUUAUUUAUUUCCUUAUAUCAUGAUAAAUGUUUAUUAUUCAUGCUAGAAUUGUAUUAACUGGAAACAUAAUACAUGUGUGAAUACAUAGACAAACAGAGUGUCACUAGUAUGCCUCUACUUGACUAGCUCGUUGAUCGAAGAUGGUUAUGUUUCCUAACCAUAGACAUGAGUUGUCAUUUGAUUAACGGGAUCACAUCAUUAGGAGAAUGAUGUGAUUGACUUGACCCAUUCCGUUAGCUUAGCAUUUGAUCGUUUAGUUUGUUGCUAUUGCUUUCUUCAUAACUAAUACAUGUUCUUAUGACUAUGAGAUUAUGCAACUCCCGUUUACCGGAGGAACACUUUGUGUGCUACCAAACAUCACAAUGUAACUGGGUGAUUAUAAAGGUGCUCUACAGGUGUCUCUGAAGGUACUUGUUGGGUUGGCGUAUUUUGAGAUUAGGAUUUGUCACUCCGAUUGUCGGAGAGGUAUCUCUGGGCCCUCUUGGUAAUGCACAUCACUUAAACCUUGCAAGCAUUGCAACUAAUGAGUUAGUUGCGGAAUGAUGUAUUACAGAACGAGUAAAGAGACUUGCCGGUAACGAGAUUGAACUAGGUAUUGGAAUACCGACGAUCGAAUCUCGGGCAGGUAACAUACCGAUGACAAAGGGAACAACGUAUGUUGUUAUGCAGUUUGGCCGAUAAAGAUCUUCGUAGAAUAUGUAGGAACCAAUAUGAGCAUCCAGGUUCCGCUAUUGGUUAUUGACCGAAGACGUGUCUCGGUCAUGUCUACAUAGUUCUCGAACCCGUAGGGUCCGCACGCUUAAAGUUCAGUGACGAUCGUAAUUAGGGUUUUUGUGUUUUGAUGUACCGAAGGUUGUUCGGAGUCCCGGAUGUGAUCACGGACAUGACGAGGAGUCUCGAAAUGGUCGAGACAUAAAGAUUGAUAUAUUGGAAGCCUAUAUUUGGAUAUCGGAAUCGUUCCGGGUGAAAUCGGGAUUUUACCAGAGUACCGGGGGGUUACCGGAACCCCCCCGGGGGUUAAUGACCCUACAUGGGCCCUAAGGGAGAAGAGGAGGGCCGGCCAGGGCAGGCCACGCGCCCCCUCCCCCGUAGUCCAAAUAGGACAAGGAAGGGGGGGCGGCGCCCCCUUUUCCUCUUUCCCCCUUCCCCUUUCCUUCUCCAACAAGGCAAGAGGAGGGAGUCCUACUUCCGGUGGGAGUAGGACUCCUCCAGGCGCACCCCUAGGGGCCGGCCGCACUUCCCCCUCCCUCCUUUAUAUACGGGGGCAGGGGGAACCCCAUGACACACAAGUUGAUCUUUGUGAUCGUUCCUUAGCCGUGUGCGGUGCCCCCUUCCACCAUAUUCCACCUCGGUCAUAUCGUAGCGGUGCUUAGGCGAAGACCUGCGUUGGUAGAACAUCAUCACCGUCAUCACGCCGUCGUGCUGACGAAACUCUCUCUCAACACUCGACUGGAUCGGAGCUCAAGGGACGUCACCGAGUUGAACGUGUGCAGAACUCGGAGGUGCCGUAUGUUCGGUACUUGGAUCGGUCGGAUCGGGAAGACGUACGACUACUUCCUCUACGUUGUGUCAACGCUUUCGUUGCCGGUCUACGAGGGUACGUAGACACCACUCUCCCCUCUCGUUGCUAUACAUCACCACGAUCUUGCGUGUGCGUAGGAAUUUUUUUGAAAUUACUACGUUCCCCAACAGUGGCAUCAGAGCCAGGUUUUAUGCGUUGAUGUUAUUUGCACGAGUAGAACACAAGUGAGUUGUGAGCGAUAUAAGUCAUAUUGCUUACCAGCAUGUCAUAGUUUGGUUCGGCGGUAUUGUUGGAUGAAGUGGCCCGGACCGACAUUACGCGUACGCUUACACGAGACUGGUUCUACCGACGUGCUUUGCACACAGGUGGCUGGCGGGUGUCAGUUUCUCCAACUUUAGUUGAACCGAGUGUGGCUACGCCCGGUCCUUGCGAAGGUUAAAACAGCACCAACUUGACAAACUAUCGUUGUGGUUUUGAUGCGUAGGUAAGAAUGGUUCUUGCUAAGCCCAUAGCAGCCACGUAAAACUUGCAACAACAAAGUAGAGGACGUCUAACUUGUUUUUGCAGGGCAUGUUGUGAUGUGAUAUGGUCAAAACGUGAUGCUAUAUUUUAUUGUAUGAGAUGAUCAUAUUUUGUAACCGAGUUAUCGGCAACUAGCAGGAGCCAUAUGGUUGUCGCUUUCUUGUAUGCAAUGCAAUCGCGCUGUAAUGCUUUACUUUAUCACUAAGCGUUAGCGAUAGUCGUGGAAGCAUAAUUGGCGAGACGACAACGAUGCUACGAUGGAGAUCAAGGUGUUGCGCCGGUGACGAUGGUGAUCAUGACGGUACUUCGGAGAUGGAGAUCACAAGUACAAGAUGAUGAUGGCCAUAUCAUAUCACUUAUAUUGAUUGCAUGUGAUGUUUAUCUUUUAUGCAUCUUAUCUUGCUUUGAUUGAUGGUAGCAUUAUAAGAUGAUCUCUCACUAUAUUUCAAGAUAAAAGUGUUCUCCCUGAGUAUGCACCGUUGCCAAAGUUCGUCGUGCCCAGACACCAUGUGAUGAUCGGGUGUGAUAAGCUCUACGUCCAUCUACAACGGGUGCAAGCCAGUUUUGCACAUGCAGAAUACUCAGGUUAAACUUGAUGAGCCUAGCAUAUGCAGAUAUGGCCUCAGAACACUGAGACCGAAAGGUCUAGCGUGAAUCAUAUAGUAGAUAUGAUCAACAUAUUGAUGUUCACCAUUGAAAGCUACUCCAUUUCACGUGAUGAUCGGUUAUGGUUUAGUUGAUUUGGAUCACGUGAUCACUUAGAAGAUUAGAGGGAUGUCUUUCUAAGUGGGAGUUCUGAAGUAAUAUGAUUAAUUGAACUUAAAUUUAUCAUGAACUUAGUACCUGAUAGUAUCUUGCUUGUCUAUGUUUGAUUGUAGAUAGAUGGCCCGUGUUGUUGUUCCGUUGAAUUUUAAUGCGUUCCUUGAGAAAGCAAAGUUGAAAGAUGAUGGUAGCAAUUACACGGACUGGGUCCGUAACUUGAGGAUUAUCCUCAUUGCUGCAUAGAAUAAUUAUGUCCUGGAAGCACCGCUGGGUGCCAGGCCUGCUGCUGGAGCAAGACCCGAUGUUAUGAACGUCUGGCAGAGCAAAGCUGAUGACUACUCGAUAGUUCAGUGUGCCAUGCUUUACGGCUUAGAAUCGGGACUUCAACGACGUUUUGAACGUCAUGGAGCAUAUGAGAUGUUCCAGGAGUUGAAGUUAAUAUUUCAAGCAAAUGCCCGGAUUGAGAGAUAUGAAGUCUCCAAUAAGUUAUAUAGCUGCAAGAUGGAGGAGAAUAGUUCUGUCAGUGAACAUAUACUCAAAAUGUCUGGGUAUCAUAAUCACUUGACUCAAUUGGGAGUUAAUCUUCCUGUUGAUAGUGUCAUUGACAGAGUUCUUCAAUCACUGCCACGAAGCUACAAGAGCUUCGUGAUGAACUAUAACAUGCAAGGGAUGGAUAAGACGAUUCCCGAGCUCUUCGCAAUGCUAAAGGCUGCGGAGGUAGAAAUCAAGAAGGAGCAUCAAGUGUUGAUGGUCAACAAGACCGCCAGUUUCAAGAAAAAGGGAAAGGGAAGAAGAAGGGGAACUUCAAGAAGAACAGCAAGCAAGUUGCUGCUCGGGAGAAGAAACCCAAAUCUGGACCUAAGCCUGAAACUGAGUGCUUCUACUGCAAGCUGACUGGACACUGGAAGCGGAACUGCCCCAAGUAUUUGGCGAAUAAGAAGGAUGGCAAGGUGAACAAAGGUAUAUGUGAUAUACAUGUUAUUGAUGUGUACCUUACUAGAGCUCGCAGUAGCACCUGGGUAUUUGAUACUGGUUCUGUUGCUAAUAUUUGCAACUCGAAACAGGGACUAUGGAUUAAGUGAACACUCGCGAAGGACGAGGUGAUGAUGCACGUGGGAAAUGGUUCCAAAGUCGAUGUGAUUGCAGUCGGCACGCUACCUCUACAUCUACCUUCGGGAUUAGUAUUAGACCUAAAUAAUUAUUAUUUGGUGUCAGCGUUGAGCAUGAACAUUAUAUCUGGAUCUUGUUUGAUGCGAGACGGUUAUUCAUUUAAAUCAGAGAAUAAUGGUUGUUCUAUUUAUAUGAGUAAUAUCUUUUAUGGUCAUGCACCCUUAAAGAGUUGUCUAUUUUCGAUGAAUCUCGAUAGUAGUGAUACACAUAUUCAUAAUGUUGAAGCCAAAAGAUGCAGAGUUGAUAAUGAUAGUGCAACUUAUUUGUGGCACUGCCGUUUAGGUCAUAUCGGUAUAAAGCGCAUGAAGAAACUCCAUACUGAUGGACUUUCAGAAUCACUUGAUUAUGAAUCACUUGGUACUUCCGAACCGUGCCUCAUGGGCAAGAUGACUAAAACGCCGUUCUCCGGUACUAUGAAGAGAGCAACAGAUUUGUUGGAAAUCAUACAUACAGAUGUAUGUGGUCCGAUGAAUGUUGAGGCUCAUGGCGGAUAUCGUUAUUUUCUCACCUUCACGGAUGAUUUAAGCAGAUAUGGGUAUAUCUACUUAAUGAAACAUAAGUCUGAAACAUUUGAAAAGUUCAAAGAAUUUCAGAGUGAAGUUGAAAAUCAUCGUAACAAGAAAAUAAAGUUUCUAUGAUCUGAUCGUGGAGGAGAAUAUUUGAGUUACGAGUUUGGUCUACAUUUGAAACAAUGCGGAAUAGUUUCCAACUCACGCCACCCGGAACACCACAGCGUAAUAGUGUGUCCGAACGUCAUAAUCGUACGUUAUUAGAUAUGGUGCGAUCUAUGAUGUCUCUUACUGAUUUACCGCUAUCAUUUUGGGAUUAUGCUUUAGAGAAGGCUGCAUUCACGUUAAAUAGGGCACCAUCAAAAUCCGUUGAGACGACGCCUUAUGAACUGUGGUUUGGCAAGAAACCAAAGUUGUCGUUUCUGAAAGUUUGGGGUUGCAAUGCUUAUGUGAAAAAGCUUCAACCUGAUAAGCUCAAACCCAAAUCGGAGAAAUGUGUCUUCAUAGGAUACCCAAAGAAGACUGUUGGGUACACCUUCUAUCACAGAUCCGAAGGCAAGACAUUCGUUGCUAAGAAUGGAUCCUUUCUAGAGAAGGAGUUUCUCUCAAAAAAAUGAGUGGGAGGAAAGUAGAACUUGAUGAGGUAACUGUACCUACUCCCUUAUUGGAAAGUAGUACAUCACAGAAACUGGUUUUUGUGACACCUAUACCAAUUAGUGAGGAAGCUAAUGAUAAUGAUCAUGACACUUCAGAUCAAGUUACUACGGAACCUCGUAGAUCAACCAGAGUAAGAUCCGCACCAGAAUGGUACGGUAAUCCUGUUCUGGAAGUCAUGCUACUAGAUCAUGAUGAACCUACGAACUAUGAAGAAGUGAUGCUGAGCCCAAAUUCCGCAAAAUGGCUAGAAGCCAUGAAAUCUGAGAUUGGAUCCAUGUAUGAGAACAAAGUAUGGACUUUGGUUGACUUGCCCGUUGAUCGGCAAGCAAUUGAGAAUAAAUGGAUCUUCAAGAAGAAGACUAACGCUGACGGUAAUGUUACUGUCUACAAAGCUCGACUUGUUGCGAAAGGUUUUCGACAAGUUCAAGGGAUUGACUACGAUGAGACCUUCUCACUCGUAGCGAUGCUUAAGUCUGUCCGAAUCAUGUUAGCGAUUGCCGCAUUUUAUGAUUAUGAAAUUUGGUAGAUGGAUGUCAAAACUGCAUUCCUGAAUGGAUUUCUAGAAGAAGAGUUGUAUAUGAUGCAACCGGAAGGUUUUGUCGAUCCAAAGGGAGCUAACAAAGUGUGCAAGCUCCAGCGAUCCAUUUAUGGACUGGUGCAAGCCUCUCGGAGUUGGAAUAAACGCUUUGAUAGUGUGAUCAAAGCAUUUGGUUUUGUACAGACUUUUGGAGAAGUCUGUAUUUACAAGAAAGUGAGUGGGAGCUCUGUAGCAUUUCUGAUAUUAUAUGUGGAUGACAUAUUACUGAUUGGAAAUGAUAUAGAAUUUCUGGAUAGCAUAAAGGGAUACUUGAAUAAGAGUUUUUCAAUGAAAGACCUCGGUGAAGCUGUUUACAUAUUGGGCAUUAAGAUCUAUAGAGAUAGAUCAAGACGCUUAAUUAGACUUUCACAAAGCACAUACCUUGACAAAGUUUUGAAGAAGUUCAAAAUGGAUCAAGCAAAGAAAGGGUUCUUGCCUAUGUUACAAGGUGUGAAGUUGAGUAAGACUCAAUGUCUGGCCACCGCAGAAGAUAGAGAGAAAAUGAAAGAUGUUCCCUAUGCUUCAGCCAUAGGCUCUAUCAUGUAUGCAAUGCUGUGUACCAGACCUGAUGUGUGCCUUGCUAUAAGUCUAGUAGGAAGGUACCAAAGUAAUCUAGGAGUGGAUCACUGGGCAACGAUCAAGAACAUCCUGAAGUACCUGAAAAGGACUAAGGAUAUGUUUCUCGUAUAUGGAGGUGACAAAGAGCUCAUCGUAAAUGGUUACGUAGAUGCAAGCUUUGACACUGAUCCGAGCGAUUCUAAAUCACAAACCGGAUACGUGUUUAUAUUGAACGGUGGAGCUGUCAGUUGGUGCAGUUCUAAACAAAGCGUCGUGGCGGGAUCUACAUGUGAAGCGGAGUACAUAGCUGCUUCGGAAGCAGCAAAUGAAGGAGUUUGGAUGAAGAGUUCAUAUCCGAUCUAGGUGUCAUACCUAGUGCAUCGGGUCCAAUGAAAAUCUUUUGUGACAAUGCUGGUGCAAUUGCCUUGGCGAAGGAAUCCAGAUUUCACAAGAGAACCAAGAACAUCAAGAGAUGCUUCAAUUCCAUUCGGGAUUUAGUCCAAGUGGGAGACAUAGAAAUUUGCAAGAUACAUACGGAUCUGAAUGUUGCAGACCCGCUGACUAAGCCUCUUCCACGAGCAAAACAUGAUCAGCACCAAGGAUCCAUGGGUGUUAGAAUCAUUACUGUGUAUUCUAGAUUAUUGACUCUAGUGCAAGUGGGAGACUGAAGGAAAUAUGCCCUAGAGGCAAUAAUGAAGUUAUUAUUUAUUUCCUUAUAUCAUGAUAAAUGUUUAUUAUUCAUGCUAGAAUUGUAUUAACCGGAAACAUAAUACAUGUGUGAAUACAUAGACAAACAGAGUGUCACUAGUAUGCCUCUACUUGACUAGCUCGUUGAUCGAAGAUGGUUAUGUUUCCUAACCAUAGACAUGAGUUGUCAUUUGAUUAACGGGAUCACAUCAUUAGGAGAAUGAUGUGAUUGACUUGACCCAUUCCGUUAGCUUAGCACUUGAUCGUUUAGUUUGUUGCUAUUGCUUUCUUCAUAACUAAUACAUGUUCCUAUGAAUAUGAGAUUAUGCAACUCCCGUUUACCGGAGGAACACUUUAUGUGCUACCAAACGUCACAAUGUAACUGGGUGAUUAUAAAGGUGCUCUACAGGUGUCUCCGAAGGUACUUGUUGGGUUGGCGUAUUUCGAGAUUAGGAUUUGUCACUCCUAUUGUCGGAGAGGUAUCUUUGGGCCCUCUCGGUAAUGCACAUCACUUAAGCCUUGCAAGCAUUGCAACUAAUGAGUUAGUUGCGGAAUGAUGUAUUAUGGAACGAGUAAAGAGACUUGCCGGUAACGAGAUUGAACUAGGUAUUGGAAUACCGACGAUCGAAUCUCGGGCAGGUAACAUACCGAUGACAAAGGGAACAACGUAUGUUGUUAUGCGGUUUGACCGAUAAAGAUCUUCAUAGAAUAUGUAGGAACCAAUAUGAGCAUCCAGGUUCCGCUAUUGGUUAUUGACCGAAGACGUGUCUCGGUCAUGUCUACAUAGUUCUCGAACCCGUAGGGUCCGCACGCUUAAAGUUCGGUGACGAUCGUAAUUAGGGUUUUUGUGUUUUGAUGUACCAAAGGUUGUUCGGAGUCCCGGAUGUGAUCACGGACAUGACGAGGAGUCUCGAAAUGGUCGAGACAUAAGGAUUAAUAUAUUGGAACCCUAUAUUUGGAUAUAUGAAUCGUUUCGGGUGAAAUCGGGAUUUUACCGGAGUACCGGGGGGUUACCGGAACCCCCCGGGGGUUAAUGGGCCUACAUGGGCCCUAAGGGAGAAGAGGAGGGCCGGCCAGGGCAGGCCGUGUGCCCCCUCCCCCUAGUCCGAAUAGGACAAGGAAGGGGGGGCGGCGCCCCCUUUUCCUCUUUCCCCCUUCCCCUUUCCUUCUCCAACAAGGCAAGAGGGGGGAGUCCUACUCCCGGUGGGAGUAGGACUCCUCCAGGCGCACCCCUAGGGGCCGGCCGCACCUCCCCCCUCCCUCCUUUAUAUACGGGGGUAGGGGGCACCCCGUGACACACAAGUUGAUCUUCGUGAUCGUUCCUUAGCCGUGUGCGGUGCCCCCUUCCACCAUAUUCCACCUCGGUCAUAUCGUAGCGGUGCUUAGGCGAAGCCCUGCGUCGGUAGAACAUCAUCACCGUCAUCACACCGUCGUGCUGACGAAGCUCUCCCUCAACACUCGACUGGAUCGGAGCUCGAGGGACGUCACCGAGUUGAACGUGUGCAGAACUCGGAGGUGCCGUACGUUCGGUACUUGGAUCGGUCGGAUCGGGAAGACGUACGACUACUUCCUCUAUAUUGUGUCAACGUUUCCGUUGCUGGUCUACGAGGGUACGUAGACAACACUCUCCCCUCUCAUUGCUAUGCCUCACCAUGAUCUUGCGUGUGCGUAGGAAUUUUUUUGAAAUUACUAUGUUCCCCAACAUUGCACAAGCAUGAAAUUGUCAUGCAAAGAUUUGCCCUUGACGAAAGCACUUUGGUGAUUACCAACUAGUUUAGGUAGAUCUUCCACGAGUCUACACGCAAGCACCUUCUCGAAAAUCUUCACUGCCCCAUGCACAAGGUUGAUGGGUCCGAAGUCACACACCUCCAGGGCACCAUCUUUCUUGGGCAAAAUAGAGACUAAGGACUUAUUAAUGGCCGCCAAACCCCUCAUGUCACCAUUGUAGAAGUAGCCCAUCCCUCUCAUGAAAUCCUCCUUGAUUAUACUCCAGCAAGUAGCAUAAAAUCUGCCCGUAAAACCAUCAGGACCCGGCGCUUUACCCCGAGGCAUUAACUUGAUCACUCCUUCAACCUCCUCCUCCGUAAACGACUGCUCAAGAUGCGCCAGGUUUAGGCAUGGAAGGCCCAGCUCAUCCAGGUUGAGCGCAUAUCCACGAGGGCAUGCACCUCGAAAUGCCUCACCAAAAUAAGCAUCCACCGCCGAAGCCACCUCAUCCUGGCCGGAGUAUAAUCAAUCAUUGUACUUGACCAUCCUCAAAACAUUCUUUCUUUGCCUAUGACUUGCUUGUUGAUGGAACAACCUCGUGUUCCCGCCGCCCUCACGCAGUUGCAUCAUUCUAGAUCUCUGCCUAGCGAUUAUUCGCUCCAACGAGCUCAAACCAAAAAGCUUCCUCUUUAAACACUUGCGCAAAUCCCUCUCUGCAUCCGAUAGCGUCCUUGCCUCCAUAGCAAUAUCCAGUUGCUUAAUGACCUCGAUAGCAAUGGCAAUUUGAAGCUUCACGUUGCCAAUCCAACGAUCACUCCACUUUUGCAGACUCCGUGCCUUAGCCCUUAGCUUGCUUUGUAAGGUGAGGUAGUCAUUAGAGGCCGCCAGAGUCAUAGUACAAGCCAUCUUGACCACAUCAAAGAAACCCUCCACACGAGUCCAGAAGGACUCAAACUUGAACCUCUUCUUUGUGCAGAUGCAGACAUUCAUAUCCAACAUUAACAGGCAAUGAUCGGAGACUGCAGUGCCCAGAGUUGAGUGGAAACACGUCGGGUACGCCUCAUCCCACUCGUUUGACACGAACACAUGGUCGAUCUUCUCCAAAGUAGCCAUCUGCCUCUCAUUAGACCAUGUAUAGCGUCUCCCAUUUAGAUAGAGCUCCUUCAGCUCAAGCAAGUUCAACUUUGCUCUAAACCGGUCCAUCAUCCUAUGGUUGAUCAAAUCAUUACUUUUGUCCUCCUCUCUAGCAAUUAUAUUAAAGUCUCCCGCUACCAACCAGGGCCCUGCGUGUAGGCCCCGAAUGUCAACAAGGUCUUGCAAGAAAACCACUUUGUCCACCUAUUCUUGUGGCCCAUAGACACAUGUGAGCCACCAUGGCCGGUCGUCCUCCAGGCACAUCAAAAGCGAUGUUAAUGUAUGAUUCGUGUAGUGCGGAUUCGAUAGUCGCGUGGCCGCGGCAUCCCAAGCCACCAAAAUCCCACCUCGUGUACCCACUGCCAGCAAGUAGAAAAAGUUUUCAUAUUUACCACCAAGGCACUGACGCACAAUGUUCACGGAUACAUCUUGCAGUUUUGUUUCUUGAAGGCACACAAUAGCCGGUCCUGCCGAGUUAACCACCUGAAAUAUGGCAUUCCUGCGGGCCGGGGCAUUUAGCCCACGAACAUUCCACACCAUCAUCCUCAAUGACUGCGCAUUCAUGAUCAGAACCAACCAUGACCAUCAGCCAAGCGGCUAGUGCACCACCUCACUCGCCAGCGGCAUUGCCGGCGACUCCCAUCCGAACAAAGCAAGUAUCGCCACGAUGUGAGCAUCCGAGAGUGGCCGAGAAAAUAGGUCCACGUACAUCCUUAGUGCUUCCUCCGAGAUUACCUCCCCUUCAUGCGCCAAACAUAAUCUUCUAAUGAGGACUUAUUGCUGCUUGGAGGCACCCAUCUUUACCAAUCGCGCACUCCUCCUUGGAGUGACGUCCACCCUCUGCUUCUUUCUUGGGUUCCGGGCUUGUAACCCACAUGCACGACUUGGUGGACGCGGAAAAAUUGGUGUUAAGGACCGGCACAUCUGCGCCCGCAUGGCUUCAAUGUCCUGUAGCAAGGGGCCCUCCCCAUCGGCCCUCUGCGGUGUGACCAUGGUUUGUAUAGGGCUGGGAAGCCUGGUCUCCUCUACCACAUCCCCUGGACUCGCCAGCCCCACCGUACGUAGCGACGUCGGGGAAGGAGUGCAUGGUGCAUGAGCGCAGCCCUCCUCUGAUAGGCUCACAUAGAACGUAUCACCAGCCUCCACCUGUCCAUGCAGCAUUCGCAAGCAUCCACUCGCUGAAUCCUCCUCGAACAACGAGUCCAGCCCAUCCCAUCUGUGCCCGCAUGAGGAGGCGUCCCCAUCAUGCACUGGACCCCGCAAGGGGAUAUGGUACGAUCCAAUUUGGACGGAUCCCUCCCCCUGCCGAGCAGCAACCGGCUCCAGAUCCGAGAUCCUAUCCACCUCGGGCUCAUGCGCAUCUCUGUCUGCCCGCGCCCACUUGGACAGCAGGACCGAGGCGGGCGAGACAACGAAACCUGCACCUCAUUCCCCCGCACCAACGCAGCAUAAUGGACCGCCGAUCCUUCUUUUUGACCAGACCCCACCUGCACCGACAUGUCGGCCUCCACCAUUGGCUGGCCACCAGAACCACCAGCCUGCGGACCAACAGGAUCAGCACAAAGCGAUCCAGUGACGAUGGCCAUGCGGUUGUCGCUGACCGAGCCACUACCCGCUGAAACCACGCCGGCCUGAACGCCACGCGUCGCCGGCGGCGACGCCGCGCGUCGACGACUCCACCGUAUUGGCCGAAGCCACGGGCACCGCAGGGUUGCGGGCCUCCCUCCUCGGCGGCCCUCGCACCUGAUCGUCACUCCCAGAAGGUGGCGACGACGGAGGAGGCCGCCGACCACCAUCCUCAUCAUCCUCCCCAUCCACCAUCCGCGGCUCCUCCAGGACCCGGAUAUCGAUCGGAUACCAGAGCGUGCUGGCGUGCCGGCCAACAGAAGAACGCCGGCCCUCCUCUUCGGCCCAGAGGUUUCGCCGGGGCUCAUCGAUGAACAGCAACCGACGACGAGGGAUCUGAUGAGGCCGAUCCGUGUGCAGCCACAGCCGGAAAUCCGCCAUGUCGAGCCGGCGAGCCGUGGAAUCAUCCACCCCCACAACGUAGUCGAGACCGCGCAGAAUCACAGUCGCCGUCCUCUGGUUCCAUGCAUGCGCAGACACUCCCCUCAACGAGAUCGGCACCAGGUAGGGGAGCGAGGCCGCCGUCGCAUGCGCCUGCCUAUUCCAUGGCCAGAGGUUGAGCUCAAACCAAGACGAGUUAGCGUGGCCUGCGCGCACCAUCCGGUCCCGGACCUCCCCAUUGCGGCAUAGGACAAGAAAAUCAUCGGGGAAAAGGCGCGGAUAGACAUAUCCGCCGGACCAAUGCCGAAUGUCGCGUGCAGCGCCUCCGCCGCAGAGGCUAAAUCCACCGAGGGCCUGUUGCCGGUGACUGUGAUGAGCACCGCCCGAGCAAGCUCGGCCUCCAACCGCCGUGUGUCAUCACCCGCCUCCAAGAAGCAAACUUCCAUCGGCGCAUCCUGAACUACGGUCACCCCGGGCGGCGCCGACUCCAACGGGCCGAACGGCAUCGAGAACUCCGGGCCGGCAGCAACCCGCACGUCCCGGGACGGCGCCCUCACCACCUCACUCCAGAGCNNNNNNNNNNNNNNNNNNNNNNNNNNNNNNNNNNNNNNNNNNNNNNNNNNNNNNNNNNNNNNNNNNNNNNNNNNNNNNNNNNNNNNNNNNNNNNNNNNNNNNNNNNNNNNNNNNNNNNNNNNNNNNNNNNNNNNNNNNNNNNNNNNNNNNNNNNNNNNNNNNNNNNNNNNNNNNNNNNNNNNNNNNNNNNNNNNNNNNNNNNNNNNNNNNNNNNNNNNNNNNNNNNNNNNNNNNNNNNNNNNNNNNNNNNNNNNNNNNNNNNNNNCAGGAUAGUGGCUGAGUGCCGCGACGACGCAGGGGCGGAUGCCUCCACCUGACGACGCAGAGCAGGAGGCAGGCGCGCAGGUUGUUCCACCGGAGACGGACUACGCGGCCUGGUGGAGCCACAGGAGAUGUGCCCCAAACCGCGGCACCGGACGCAGAACGCCGGGUUGGUGCAGUCCACCGAGAUGUGCCCGUCGCUCCCGCAGUUGUAACAACAUCCAUGCAGCUCCGCCGGCAGGCGCGAAGACGGCGGCGGGCGAGCAGCCGGCAGCACGCGGGGCCGGCCAGCGGGAGCACGACGCCGGGGGCGCUGCAAAGCCCGAGGACGGCGGCUCGUCUUGGUCUGCCAGCCACCCCCAACCCGCAGCGGCGCCGGCGUGCGCGACGGCCCUCCCCCUCCGCCCUGGACGAUAGGGCCGAAGGCCGUGCCCAGGACCUGCGGCACGAUGAUGGAGCGCAGCAGAGGCCGUGGCUGCGUCGGAGCCGGAGCAGAGGGGCCGGCAUGCGGGGGUGGCGUGGGAUCUCGCCGCGCCACAGGGGACGAAGAAGGCGGGGGAAGGGAGGACGCGGAGGAGAUGGAGCCCGACAGCGAGACUCUGGACGCCAUAGCGCCGCAGGGGGAGAGGUGGCCGCCGCCUCCGGAGUGGAGAAUGGCGGGAGGGGAGCGCAAGAGCGCUAUCGCAAACAUUAUCCAUGACUAAGAUUGUUCUCCAUUUUUUUUGCCUGAAGGUUGAUGCAGGCCCCUAGUCCUAAUGAUUGACUUGGACCGGCAGGUAAGCCUGGUAGUUAGCCUCCGAACAAGUAGUUUGUUCCAUGUCUACUAUAUCCUGUCAAUCUUCUGACCAAAAAUCCAACAGCCGAUUUUCAACCCUAAAAUAAACUGCAGCAAUCAAACCAUUGCAUGACGAAACACGCGUACGGGGAGCCCAACGAGCGUUCGGCCAAGAAGUGGUUUAUCAUGGCCUCUCCAACGGACGUUGGCGAGGUGGACGUCGUUCGCCCCGACCUAUUAGUCCCGUAGAAACACGUAACCGCGAAUGCCGGAGAAGACGUUGACUACGUUGCCAUGUCGAAGGCUUUAUGUCAACGGGCUUGCAUAUUACUAUAUCUCGGGAAAGCUGGCUACAACAUCAAGCUCGUCGACAGUGACGGCUUCACGCGGGCAAUGUCACAGGUUAUGUGGUCCAUCCCCAACCCCUUUGGUUCAACCGCCGUUGAUCUCUUCGACGGCCCUUCCGCUGAUCUCCUCCACCAGAAUGGUUAUCCUUGCAAAAGAAAUCAUAAUGAUAGGUCCUCCAGCCAGGGGGGGUGCUAGGCAUGACAUCAUGUUACCGGGUCAUCAAAGGACAAACAAAGUCGCCCGAGGCACCGCGUUCCUAUUUUUAAAUUGCUGGGCCGUGAACAACUAUGCCGAGUGUUGCUUUCGGUUUCAGACAUGAACUGCGUUUUUCUAUCAGAGUUGUAUAUUCUGUUGCUUGCUCGUGGCUGCUUGACUGCUUCCCUUUUCGCUUCGUCCUUAGCAGCAGUUGGUUCACCUACUCCUAACGAACCUUAACUAAGCCAAGAAUUUUCUGCAGACUCGGGCUCCAGAAAGGUCUGAUAACUGUUUUUUGCUGUCGAACUCAAAAUAUUAAAGAAGUCAGCCAACGUAGUUCUGAUUUGGGAGGCAAGUUAUGUGACCUUCUCGAAGGGUUUUUGGCCUUUCGACACCUGGAGCCUGCAGCCUACAGCUACAGCUACAGGGGUGCUGUGCAUGAUGACUUCACCUGUCAUAUCGCGGCCACGUUUUUCUCCAUACAUCAUGGCUGCAUUUGAUCUAGGUCAUCUAGCAUCGCCGCGAAAGAUCUCCUGCUGUCGUGUGCCCGUCACGUAGGCCUUGUUUGGAUCAUGAGAUUAGAGCUAGUUUGAGUUAGUUGGGGGCUCAAAUAACUCAAAAGUAUCCAAACAGAAAGAAUUAGAGUGGGUUAGUUUCAUCUAACCCAACUAUCCUGAUGAAGAGAUGCUUAUUUGGGUUAGAGUGGGUUAGAAAAUAACUCUAACUCUAACUGUGUUAGAGUAUCCAAAUAGGACCGUAGUCGAUGCUUUACACAAGGGACUACGCCAGCUCCCAUUUUUUUCAGCACCGGCCAGGGGGAUCCUGCUGUACGUGGCGGUAAAAUGACGCAUGAGACGGAGAAGUUAAUUUGCCAUUGCCAUUGCCUUCGGUGGUAAGACACGAACCUCGCGUCAUGACGCUUUGAUUCACACGUGCAGAAACCAGGGCCCAAAGUUAGUUUACAGGUGCUGGAAACAUAUCCUAUGCCCCCCUUGAUGUGCUUUUUCUCCCUAUAUAACGGUUGAUCGAUGCUUCGAUCCAGGCUGCUAGCCGAUAUAUGUAUACGUUGGAUCUUCGACGGUGGGAACAGGAUAAAGGUGGCGGCUGCUCGAGCUGCCGCACGCGGUAUGAUGCUUCCGUCACGGGACCAAGCAUCGUUCGAUCUGGGCCCCGUCGUGCACGACCGUGCGGGUGGUGAGCGGGAACCCCUAUUUCACGCACUGGGCAGUGGGCACCCCUCGCGCACCCAUCGUGCGGGUGAUGCAAACGCGCAGCCCUAGCUUCGGCCUUUGGGGCCGCCCCAGUUUUUUUGGGCAUCAAUAUAUAUUUUGAAUUAAAAAAAUAUUCACUAAUUUGAAUUUUUUUCAGGACAUAAAAAAACAGUUCAUGAAUUUUAAAUAUGUUUACUACUUUGAAAAAUGUACUGAAUUUUAAAAAAUGUUCGUGAUUUUGAAAUUAAAAUGUUCGUGAAUUAAAAAGGAGGUUCACAAAUUUUAGAAAUGCUCAUUGAUUCAAAAAAUACUUCUGAAUCUCAAAAUGUUCCAGAAUUCCUGAAGAAAUAUUGAUUCAAAAAGUUUCACGAAUUCAGAAUGUGGUCAUGAAUUUUAUAAUUUAUUCCCAUUUUUUUAAUGUUCAUGGAUUACAAAAAUGUUCACAAAUUUUGGAAAAGUUCUUGGAUUUCCAAAAUGUUAAUUAAUUUCAAAAUUGUUCAUAAUUUUUAAAAAUGUUCAAGGAUUUGAAAAAAGUUAACGAGUUUGGAAAAUCACAUAUGUGAAAAGAAAGAGAAAAAAUAAAAUAAAAGGUAAAAGGGAAAGAAGAAAAUAGAAAAGUAUAAAUAUAAAAACCGGAAAAAGAAUUAGAAAAACCAUUUCAGUGAAGNNNNNNNNNNNNNNNNNNNNNNNNNNNNNNNNNNNNNNNNNNNNNNNNNNNNNNNNNNNNNNNNNNNNNNNNNNNNNNNNNNNNNNNNNNNNNNNNNNNNNNNNNNNNNNNNNNNNNNNNNNNNNNNNNNNNNNNNNNNNNNNNNNNNNNNNNNNNNNNNNNNNNNNNNNNNNNNNNNNNNNNNNNNNNNNNNNNNNNNNNNNNNNNNNNNNNNNNNNNNNNNNNNNNNNNNNNNNNNNNNNNNNNNNNNNNNNNNNNNNNNNNNNNNNNNNNNNNNNNNNNNNNNNNNNNNNNNNNNNNNNNNNNNNNNNNNNNNNNNNNNNNNNNNNNNNNNNNNNNNNNNNNNNNNNNNNNNNNNNNNNNNNNNNNNNNNNNNNNNNNNNNNNNNNNNNNNNNNNNNNNNNNNNNNNNNNNNNNNNNNNNNNACAGGCCACUCGCUUGAUCGCGUCCAGCGGUGGUGUGUGUUUGCUCUCUGUCCCCGAGUGUGUCUUGCCGGGCGCACCUAUGCCUCGCUUAUAGCGAGGUGGAAGGGAGCCUCACCUACACAGAGCCGAUGCUGGGCCUUGGCAGUAGGAAUGUGGGUUCGCCAUGUUGACUUCAUUCUGCCAUCUUGCUGAUUUUAUGUUUUUUCUUCCUUUUUAUAUUAUAUUUAUACUUUAAAUGAAUAUAUUUUAAAAACAUUUUUAAAUGCCAUAAAUUUGAAAAAAAUGUUAACACAGUAUAUAAAAACGUUAGGGCAACUAAAACAGUGUUAAUAGCUUUCCAAAUAAAUGAUUGUGACAAUGAAAAAAUGUCCCCACGUUUCGAAACAUUGUAUGUGAACUAUUCGAAAAAUGUGUAUAUAAUUUUAAUAAAAUGUUGUCGUUAUAUAAAAAUAUAUUUUGUAACAUAUAAAAGACAUUAUGUGAUAUUUAAUAGAAAUAUUUUAUUUUUAAUAAAAAUAUUGAUGGCAUUUAAAAAAAUGUUUGUACAAUGUAAUAAAAUGCCUAUUUAUAAAAAAGAAUAUUAGCACAAAAAUUUCAACGUGUUUAAAAAAAAGCUUGACCAUGUUGAUGUAUACAAAAAAUGUAAAAUGUGUAAGAAAAAUAGACAUCAGAACAUGUAUUUGAAAAAUAACAACCAGUAUAAAAAGUAAUAUUUGUGAUGUGUACAAAAUAUGUACAAUAUGUAUGAAAAAUAAUAGACAUCAAAACAUGCAUUUAAAAAAAAUCAUGUAUAAAAAAAUAAUAUUUUGGAUGUAUACAAAAAUGUAAAAUGCGUGUGAGAAAAGUAGACAUCCAAACAUGUAUUUUAAAAAAUGUUUAAAUAGUAGAAAAUAAUGUUUUGGUGAAGAUCAUGAUUCAAGAGAAGAAGCAAAUUAAAGUUGGUGAAGAGAAGCAACUUGAAUCCGCAACUUGCGAUUUUCACAAGAGAAGCAAAUUCAAGUUGGUGAAGAUCAUGAUUUGGGCAACACGGUAGCUUGAGAGAAAGACACGACAAAUCAUGUUUUCCCAUUUUGGAUGAUUUUGCCAUUGUUUGGAACAUUGACUCCUAUCCUUUUUUUUCCCAAAGAUUUCAUGAGGCUGCAUCUCAAGUGAGACGAGGACUCUGUCACCCAAGUGGUCAGAGUCGAAACCCUAUAACUUGUUGUGGCUGACAAACCUCAACAAUGCACACACAGACUCUCCGAGGCCGUGUACUAGAGGAGAUGAUGACUUCAUCACCCAAGUGACCAGAAAUGUCACUCGAUGGCACAAAGGCACUCUUUGGAGUCCCGACUCUGCCUUCCACACCGGUCCCGAUGGCUGGAAGUUGGCGUGCAACAUCAUAUGAAAUAAAAUGUCUCACAUUUUCAUCACAUUUGAGCAUAUGGUUAUCACAGGAGUUUAUCACCCAUAACCAACUCAUUUAUUUGUAUCGUUGGCUUUCUUUCACAAACCACAACUAUCCAACGUGAAGUAACUUUUGAGAAACAUGCCUUUCUAGUGCGCCUCUCAGGUCAAUCAUAAUGCGUUCAAAUGAUAUAAGUUAUCACUCUUAGUGUCGGUGGCUCAUUUAUGUUGGAAAUAUGCCCUAGAGGCAAUAAUAAAAUGGUUAUUAUUAUAUUUCUUUAUUCAUGAUAAUUGUCUAUUGUUCAUGCUAUAAUUGUAUUAUCCGGAAAUCGUAAUACAUGUGUGAAUACAUAGACCACAACACGUCCCUAGUGAGCCUCUAGUUGACUACCUCGUUGAUCAAAGGAUAGUCAUGGUUUCCUGACUAUGGACAUUAGAUGUCAUUGAUAACGGGAUCACAUCAUUAGAAGAAUCGAGACUGGGAUUUGUCACGAAAGUGUCUGUUGGGUUGGCACGAAUCGAGACUGGGAUUUGUCACUCCGUAUGACGGAGAGGUAUCUCUGGGCCCACUCGGUAAUGCAUCAUCAUAAUGAGCUCAAAGUGAUCAAGUGAUUGAUCACGGGAUCAUGCAUUAUGGUACGAGUAAAGUGACUUGCCGGUAACGAACAAGGUAUUGGGAUACCGACGAUCGAGUCUCGGGCAAGUAACGUACCGAUUGACAAAGGGAAUUGUAUACGGAUUGAUUGAAUCCUCGACAUCGUGGUUCAUCCGAUGAGAUCAUCGUGGAGCUUGUGGGAGCCAACAUGGGUAUCCAGCUCCCGAUGUUGGUUAUUGACUGGAGAGGCUUCUCGGUCAUGUCUGCAUGUCUCCCGAACCCGUAGGGUCUACACACUUAAGGUUCGAUGACGCUAGGGUUGUAGAGAUAUUAGCACAUGGUAACCCGAAAGUUGUUCGGAGUCCCGGAUGAGAUCCUGGACGUCACGAGGAGUUCCGGAAUGGUCCGGAGGUAAAGAUUUAUAUAUAAGAAGUCCAGUUUUGGUCUUCGGGAAGGUUUCGGGGUCACCGGUAUUGUACCGGGACCACCGGAAGGGUCCCAGGGGUCCACCGGGUGGGGCCACCUAUCCCGGAGGGCCCCAUGGGCUGAAGUGGGAGGGGAACCAGCCCCUAGUGGGCUGGUGCACCCCCCUUGGGCCUCCCCCUGCGCCUAGGGUUAGAAACCCUAGGGGUGGGGGCGCCACCCUUGCCUUGGGGAGCAAGGCAACCCCUUGGCCGCCGCCCCCCUAGGAGAUUGGAUCUCCUAGGGCCGGCGCCCCCUAGGCACCCUAUAUAUAGUGGGGGGAAGGGAGGGCUGCGCACCCAAGCCCCUGGCCUCUCCCUCUCCCUCCCGUGACACUCCUCCAUCUCCUAGCGCUUGGCAAAGCCCUGCCGAGAUCACCAUUGCUUCCACCACCACGCCGUCGUGCUGCUGGAUCUUCAUCAACCUCUCCUUCCCCCUUGCUGGAUCAAUAAGGAGGAGACGUCUCCCAACCGUACGUGUGUUGAACACGGAGGUGCCGUCCGUUCGGCACUAGGUCAUCGGUGAUUUGAAUCACGUCGAGUACGACUCCAUCAACCCCGUUCUCUUGAACGCUUCCGCUCGUGAUCUACAAGGGUAUGUAGAUGAACUCCUCUCUCCCUCAUUGCUAGAUGACUCCAUAGAUGGAUCUUGGUGAUGCGUAGAAAAUUUUAAAAUUCUGCUACGUUCCCCAACAGUGGCAUCAUGAGCCAGGUCUAUGCGUAGUUACUAUGCACGAGUAGAACACAAAGUAGUUGUGGGCGUCGAUAUUGUCAAUUUGAUUGCCAUUACUAGUCUUAUCUUGAUUCGGCGACAUCGUGGGAUGAAGCGGCCCGGACCAACCUUACACGUACGCUUACGUGAGACCGGUUCCACCGACUGACAUGCACUAGUUGCAUAAGGUGGCUGGCGGGUGUCUGUCUCUCCCACUUUACUCGGAUCGGAUUCGAUGAACAGGGUCCUUAUGAAGGGUAAAUAAAAAUUGGCAAUUCACGUUGUGGUUUUGGCGUAGGUAAGAAACGUUCUUGCUAGAAACCUAUAGCAGCCACGUAAAAACUUGCAACAACAAUUAGAGGACGUCUAACUUGUUUUUGCAGCAAGUGUUUUGUGAUGUGAUAUGGCCAAAGGUUGUGAUGAAUGAUGAAUGAUAUAUGUGAUGUAUGAGAUUGAUCAUGUUCUUGUAAUAGGAAUCAAGACUUGCAUGUCGAUGAGUAUGACAACCGGCAGGAGCCAUAGGAGUUGUCUUUAUUUAUUUAUGACCUGCUUGUCAACAUAAACGUCAUGUAAUUACUUUACUUUAUUGCUAAAGCGUUAGCCAUAGUAGUAGAAGUAAUAGAUGACGAGACAACUUCAAGAAGACACGAUGAUGGAGAUCAUGGUGUCAUGCCGGUGACAACGAUGAUCAUGGAGCCCCGAAGAUGGAGAUCAAAGGAGCAAAUGAUAUUGGCCAUAUCAUGUCACUAUUUGAUUGCAUGUGAUGUUUAUCAUGUUUUACAUCUUAUUUGCUUAGAAUGACGGUAGCUUAAAUAAGAUGAUCCCUCAUAAUAAUUUCAAGAAAGUGUUCCCCCUAACUGUGCACCGUUGAGAAGGUUCGUUGUUUCGAAGCACCACGUGAUGAUCGGGUGUGAUAGAUUCUCACGUUUGAAUACAACGGGUGUAAGACAGAUUUACACACGCAAUACACUUAGGUUGACUUGAUGAGCCUAGCAUGUACAGACAUGGCCUCGGAACACAGAAGAGCGAAACGUCGAGCAUGAGUCGUAUAGAAGAUAUGAUCAACAUGAAGAUGUUCACCGAUGUUGACUAGUCCAUCUCACGUGAUGAUCGGACACAGCCUAGUUAACUCUGAUCAUGUUAUACUUAGAUGACUGGAGGGAUGUCUAUAUGAGUGGGAGUUCAUUUAAUAAUUUGAUUAGAUGAACUUAAUUAUCAUGAACUUAGUCUAAAAUCUUUACAAUAUGUCUUGUAGAUCAAAUGGCCCACGUUGUCCUCAACUUCAACGCGUUCCUAGAGAAAAUCAAGCUGAAAGACGAUGGCAGCAACUAUACGGACUAGGUCCGGAACCUGAGGAUCAUCCUCAUAGCUGCCAAGAAAGAUUAUGUCCUAGAAGCACUGCUAGGUGAUGCACCCGUCCCACAGAACCAAGACGUUAUGAACACUUGACAGACACGUGCUGAUGAUUACUCCCUCGUUCAGUGCGGCAUGCUUUAUAGCUUAGAACCGGGGCUCCAAAAGCGUUUUGAGAGACACGGAGCAUAUGAGAUGUUCGAAGAGCUGAAAAUGGUUUUUCAAGCUCAUGCCCGGGUCGAGAGAUAUGAAGUCUCCGACAAGUUCUUCAGCUGUAAGAUGGAGGAAAAUAGUUCUGUCAGCGAGCACAUACUCAAAAUGUCUAGGUUGCAUAACCGCUUGACUCAGCUGGGAGUUAAUCUCCCGGAUGACGCGGUCAUUGACAGAAUCCUUCAGUCGCUUCCACCGAGCUACAAGAGCUUUGUGAUGAACUUCAAUAUGCAGGGGAUGGAAAAGACCAUUCCUGAAGUAUUUGCAAUGCUGAAAUCAGCAGAGGUAGAAGUCAAAAAGGAACAUCAAGUGUUGAUGGUGAAUAAAACCACUAAGUUCAAGAAAGGCAAGGGUAAGAAGAACUUCAAGAAGGACGGCAAGGGAGUUGCCGCGCCCGGUAAGCAAGCUGCCGGGAAGAAGUCAAAGAAUGGACCCAAGCCCGAGACUGAGUGUUUUUAUUGCAAGGGAAGUGGUCACUGGAAGCGGAACUGCCCCAAAUACUUAGCGGACAAGAAGGCCGGCAUCACGAAAGGUAUAUGUGAUAUACAUGUAAUUGAUGUGUACCUUACCAGUACUCGUAGUAGCUCCUGGGUAUUUGAUACCGGUGCAGUUGCUCACAUUUGUAACUCAAAGCAGGAGUUGCGGAAUAAGCGGAGACUGGCGAAGGACGAGGUGACGAUGCACGUCGGGAAUGGUUCCAAGGUCGAUGUGAUCGCCGUCGGCACGCUACCUCUACAUUUACCUACAGGGUUAGUUUUAAACCUCAAUAAUUGUUAUUUAGUGCCAGCUUUGAGCAUGAACAUUGUAUCAAGAUCUCGUUUAAUUCGAGAUGGCUACUCAUUUAAAUCCGAGAAUAAUGAUUGUUCUAUUUAUAUGAGAGAUAUGUUUUAUGGUCAUGCUCCGAUGGUGAAUGGUUUAUUCUUAAUGAAUCUCGAGCGUAAUGCUACACAUAUUCAUAGUAUGAAUACCAAAAGAUGUAAGGUUGAUAAUGAUAGUCCCACAUACUUGUGGCACUGUCGCCUUGGUCACAUAGGUGUCAAACGCAUGAAGAAGCUCCAUGCAGAUGGACUUUUAGAGUCUCUUGAUUACGAAUCAUUUGACACGUGCGAACCAUGCCUCAUGCGUAAAAUGACCAAGACUCCCUUCUCAGGAAUCAUGGAGCGAGCAACCAACUUAUUGGAAAUCAUAUAUACUGAUGUGUGCGGUCCAAUGAGUGUUGAGGCUCGCGGUGGCUAUCGUUAUGUUCUCACCCUCACUGAUGACUUGAGUAGAUAUGGGUAUGUCUACUUAAUGAAACACAAGUCUGAGACCUUUGAAAAGUUCAAGGAAUUUCAGAGUGAGGUUGAGAAUCAACGUGACACGAAAAUAAAGUUCUUGCGAUCAGAUCGUGGGGAAGAAUACUUGAGUCACGAAUUUGGCACACACUUAAGAAAAUAUGGAAUAGUUUCACAACUAAUGCCGCCUGGAACACCUCAGCGUAAUGGUGUGUCCAAACGUCGUAAUCGCACUCUAUUAGAUAUGGUGCGAUCUAUGAUGUCUCAUACCGAUUUACCGCUAUCAUUUUGAGGCUAUGCUUUAGAGACUGCCGCAUUCACUUUAAAUAGGGCUCCGUCGAAAUCCGUUGAGACAACACCGUAUGAAUUAUGGUUUGGGAAGAAACCUAAGCUGUCGUUUCUAAAAGUUUGGGGAUGCGAUGCUUAUGUCAAGAAACUUCAACCUGAAAAGCUCGAACCCAAGUCGGAAAAAUGCGUCUUCAUAGGAUACCCUAAAUAAACUGUUGGGUAUACCUUCUACCUCAUAUCCGAAGGCAAGAUCUUUGUUGCCAAGAAUGGGUCCUUUCUAGAGAAAGAGUUUCUCUCGAAAGAAAUAAGUGGGAGGAAGGUAGAACUUGAUGAAGUAUUACCUCUUGAACCGGUAAGUGGCGCAGCUCAAGAAAAUGUUCCUGAGGUGCCUGCACCGACUAGAGAGGAAGUUGAUGAUGAUGAUCAUGAAACUUCAGAUCAAGUUGCUACUAAACUUCGUAGGUCCACAAGGACACGUUUCGCACCAGAGUGGUACGGCAACCCUGUCUUGGAAAUCAUGUUGUUAGACAACGGUGAACCUUCAAACUAUGAAGAAGCGAUGGCGGGCCCGGAUUCCGACAAAUGGCUGGAAGCCAUGAAACCCGAGAUAGGAUCCAUGUAUCAGAACAAAGUAUGGACUUUGGUGGACUUGCCCGAUGAUCAGCAAGCCAUUGAGAUAAAUGGAUCUUUAAGAAGAAGACGGACGUGGGCGGUAAUGUUACCGUCUAUGAAGCUUGACUUGUGGGAAAGAGUCUUUUCACAAGUUCAAGGAGUUGACUACGAUGAGAAUUUCUCACCCGUAGCUAUGCUUAAGUCCGUCGGAAUCAUGUUAGCAUUAGCUGUAUUUUUCGAUUAUGAAACCUGAUAGAUGGAUGUCAAAACAAGUUUUCUUACCAGUUUUCGUAAGAAAAAGUUGUAUGUGAUACAAUAAAAGGUUUUGUCAAUCCUAAGGAUGCUAAAAGGUAUGCUGGCUCCAGCAAUCCUUCUAUGGACUAGAACAAGCAUCUCAGAAAAUAAAUGGAUCUUUAAGAAGAAGACAUACGCGGAUGGUAAUGUGACCAUCUAUAUAGCUCGGCUUGUCGCUAAGGGUUAUCGACAAGUUCAAGGGGUUGACUACGAUGAGACUUUCUCACCCGUAGCGAAGCUGAAGUCCGUCCAAAUCAUGUUAGCAAUUGCCGCAUUCUAUGAUUAUGAGAUAUGGCAAAUGGACGUCAAAACGGCAUUCCUUAAUGGUUUCCUUAAGGAAGAAUUGUAUAUGAUGCAGCCGGAAGGUUUUGUCGAUCCUAAGAAUGCUGACAAGGUGUGCAAGCUCCAACGCUCGAUUUAUGGGCUGGUGCAAGCAUCUCGGAGUUGGAACAUUCGCUUUGAUGAGAUGAUCAAAGCGUUUGGGUUUAUGCAGACUUAUGGAGAAGCCUGCAUUUACAAGAAAGUGAGUGGGAGCUCUGUAGCAUUUCUCAUAUUGUAUGUGGAUGACAUACUGUUGAUGGGAAAUGAUAUAGAAUUCUUGGAAAGCAUAAAGGCCUACUUGAACAAGUGUUUUUCAAUGAAGGACNNNNNNNNNNCUUGGAGAAGCUGCUUAUAUAUUAGGCAUCAAGAUCUAUAGAGAUAGAUCGAGACGCCUCAUUGGUCUUUCACAGAGUACGUACCUUGACAAGAUAUUGAAGAAGUUCAAAAUGGAUCAGUCAAAGAAGGGGUUCUUGCCUAUAUUGCAAGGUACGAGAUUGAGCACGGCUCAAUGCCCGACCACGGCAGAAGAUAGAGAAAAGAUGAGUGUCGUCCCCUAUGCCUCGGCCAUAGGGUCUAUCAUGUAUGCUAUGCUGUGUACCAGACCUGAUGUAAACCUUGCCGUAAGUUUGGUAGGAAGGUACCAAAGUAAUCCCGGCAUGGAACACUGGACAGCGGUCAAGAAUAUCCUGAAGUACCUGAAAAGGACUAAGGAAAUGUUUCUCGUUUAUGGAGGUGACGAAGAGCUCGUCGUAAAGGGUUACGUCGAUGCUAGCUUCGACACAGAUCUGGAUGACUCUAAGUCACAAACCGGAUACGUGUAUAUUUCGAAUGGUGGGGCAGUAAGCUGGUGCAGUUGCAAGCAAAGCGUUGUGGCGGGAUCUACAUGUGAAGUGGAGUACAUGGCAGCCUCGGAGGCAGCACAAGAAGCAGUCUGGGUGAAGGAGUUCAUUACCGACCUAGGAGUCAUACCCAAUGCGUCGGGCCCGAUGACUCUCUUCUGUGACAACACUGGAGCUAUUGCCCUUGCCAAGGAGCCCAGGUUUCACAGGAAGACCAGGCAUAUCAAGCGUCGCUUCAACUCCAUUCGUGAAAGUGUUCAAAAUGGAGACAUAGAGAUUUUUAAAGUACAUACGGACCUGAAUGUAGCAGAUCCGUUGACUAAAUCUCUCCCUAGAGCAAAACAUGAUCAACACCAGAACUGCAUGGGUGUUCGAUUCAUCACAAUGUAACUAGAAUAUUGACUCUAGUGCAAGUGGGAGACUGUUGGAAAUAUGCCCUAGAGGCAAUAAUAAAAUGGUUAUUAUUAUAUUUCUUUGUUCAUGAUAAUUGUCUAUUGCUCAUGCUAUAAUUGUGUUAUCCGGAAAUCGUAAUACAUGUGUGAAUACAUAGACCACAACACGUCCCUAGUGAGCCUCUAGUUGACUAGCUCGUUGAUCAAAGGAUAGUCAUGGUUUCCUGACUAUGGACAUUAGAUGUCAUUGAUAACGGGAUCACAUCAUUAGGAGAAUGAUGUGAUGGACAAGACCCAAUCCUAAGCUUAGCUCAAAGAUCGUGUAGUUCGUUUGUUGUAGCUUUUCUGAAUGUCAAGUAUCAUUUCCUUAGACCAUGAGAUUGUGCAACUCCCGGAUACCGUAGGAGUGCCUUGGGUGUGCCAAACGUCACAACGUAACUGGGUGACUAUAAAGGUACAUUACAGGUAUCUCCGAAAGUGUCUGUUGGGUUGGCACGAAUCGAGACUGGGAUUUGUCACUCCGUAUGACGGAGAGGUAUCUCUGGGCCCACUUGGUAAUGCAUCAUCAUAAUGAGCUCAAAGUGAUCAAGUGAUUGAUCACGGGAUCAUGCAUUACGGUACAAGUAAAGUGACUUGCCGGUAACGAGACUGAACAAGGUAUUGGGAUACCGACGAUCGAGUCUCGGGCAAGUAACGUACCGAUUGACAAAGGGAAUUGUAUACGGAUUGAUUGAAUCCUCGACAUCGUGGUUCACCCGAUGAGAUCAUCGUGGAGCUUGUGGGAGCCAACAUGGGUAUCCAGAUCCCGCUGUUGGUUAUUGACCGGAGAGGCUUCUCGGUCAUGUCUACAUGUCUCCUGAACCCGUAGGGUCUACACACUUAAGGUUCGAUGACGCUAGGGUUGUAGAGAUAUUAGCACACGGUAACCCGAAAGUUGUUCGGAGUCCCGGAUGAGAUCUCGGACGUCACGAGGAGUUCCGGAAUGGUCCGGAGGUAAAGAUUUAUAUAUAGGAAGUCCAGUUUCGGCCUUCGGAAAGGUUUCAUGGUCACCGGUAUUGUACCGGGACCACCGGGUGGGGCCACCUAUCCUGGAGGGCCCCAUGGGCUGAAGUGGGAGGGGAACCAGCCCCUAGUGGGCUGGUGCGCCCCCCCUUGGGCCUCCCCCUGCGCCUAGGAUUAGAAACCCUAGGGGUGGGGGCGCCACCCUUGCCUUGGGGAGCAAGGCAACCCCUUGGCCGCCGCCCCCUAGGAGAUUGGAUCUCCUAGGGCCGGCGCCCCCCUAGGCACCUUAUAUAUAGUGGGGGAGGGAGGGCUGCGCACCCAAGCCCCUGGCCUCUCUAUCUCCCUCCCGUGACACUCCUCCAUCUCCCAGCGCUUGGCGAAGCCCUGCCGAGAUCACCGUUGCUUCCACCACCACGCCGUCGUGCUGCUGGAUCUUCAUCAACCUCUCCUUCCCCCUUGUUGGAUCAAGAAGGAGGAGACGUCUCCCAACCGUACGUGUGUUGAACGCGGAGGUGCCGUCCGUUCGGCACUAGGUCAUCGGUGAUUUGAAUCACGCCGAGUACGACUCCAUCAACCCCGUUCUCUUGAACGCUUCCGCUCGUGAUCUACAAGGGUAUGUAGAUGCACUUCUCUCUCCCUCGUUGCUAGAUGACUCCAUAGAUUAAUCUUGGUGAUGCAUAGAAAAUUUUAAAAUUCUGCUACGUUCCCCAACAAUUUAGAUAUUCAAAAAAUUAAGGCAAGUAUGUGCAUUUUUGGUUUUCUACAACUUCAUUGUGGAAGGCGUGGUGGAAUGUUGAGGUGUGAAUGAAGGAAUAGAGACCAGUACCUAACUAAGCCCUAUUCCCGAUUAUUUCUGAAUUUUCAUGACACUUUUUUGUAAGAAAGACGCAAUAUUUCUUGGCUUUAGAUCAAUGGAGCUACAAGCCGACAAUAGUACAUAGUUUAAAUAGGGUAGAAAAAUAAGGUAAGCCCAUAUUAUAGACCAGGGCUCGAUUGAGGAGCAAACGUCCAGUAGAAGAUAAAAAUAAAGACAAUAGGUGGCACGAAAUUUUAAGCUUCAUGUCUUUUCAUGGCAUGGAUAGUUCUAAUCUUGCUCACCACGACACUCAUCGUCAAUCCGUUCUUCCUCUUUCCCAGAAGCAACCACAUCUGAAAGAAAACAUACCAUUUAAAGAUGUACCUAGAUUACCUUCAAUCAAAACCUUUUAUCGCACAUCCAAAGAACUUUAGAUAAUGCCGCAAACUCCUUUCAAGCCAUUCUAGGGUUUUGCCCUUGUAAACCCAUGAGCAACUCUAGAUCCUGAGAAGAGUGGGGGGGGGUCCCAUUUGCACCCAAAUCUCUCCCUAAUGCGACUCCGAAGAUAUUUGGUCGACCGAGGAUUGAAUAAGAUGUGGCUCGCAUCUUCGGGUUCUCUACAGAAUGUACAAGUACCAUCGCCAAGAGGUAUUAUUGUCGACCAAAGGAACUUAGCGUGACAGAUGGAAGGGCCUAUAAUAAGAUUAACGCCCAUGGAUUUGACCGUGAAGCAGCCCUAAGCUUCUAGGUCAUAGCGCACCUUGUCCUUUCCUCUGAAAACUGGUCAUGGAUUAGGUCAGUUUUUAGGGCAUCCCACGAGCUACACUCUAUGGAAUUAAGGUUGCACAUGAAUGUGAUAUUGGCUUGACUAUUUCUUAAGCCCUCCUCAAAGAGAAUGUUCAGCUCUGCGCUCAACACAAAAAGGUUAGGGUACUUAAGGUAUAGCGGGUUUGAUCAACCCAUUUUACCGGACAUAAUUUGGCGUACUCUCCGUUACCUACGAAAAAUAUGGCGCUUACAUUAGACACCUCCUUGCAUUGAUCCUAUUUCAGAUUUGCGUCCCCUCAUCCUUGUCGAGAAAAAUCUGGAAAACUAUUUAGCUUUUACGAUCUACUACAUAGUGUCGAAGCAUUCUGAGAAAGUUCUCAAGCUCAUUUGGUAAGUACCAUUAAGUUCAGUCUUUUGCUGUUCAUGAAUCCAAGCCCGCCUUGGGCAUUUGGAGCACAUAUAUCCUCCCAGUGUACCAUAUGGUAUUUGUUUUUGAUGGUGUCUCAUUUUUCACAAGAAUCUCGACCUAAUCUUAUUAAAUUGGUGAUGGGUCCCUUUUCCCAAGAGGAAUAGGCCCAUUGCGUAUGAUGGGAUGACCGAGACAAGGUUUCAUAAGAAUAAGUCUAGCGCCCGAGAACAUGAUAUUUUCUUGUCACAUGUCAAUGCUUUUAGCCACCUUAUGAGCCAUGGGCUCCAGUCCGAACCGAUUUCUCAUAACUUGUGUUUCUUUAUGUUUUUUCUGUCUAUUGUAUCAAAUAUGUUUAAUCAUUCAAAUCAGAUCUAGGAAAAGGAAAAAAUGAUAGAAAUAAAAUGUUCGGACAUAUUUGUAACCGGAGCCAUGUCCCUAAGAUUGGGUGGCUGCCCCUUAAAAAAAUGGGUGGCUGCAUAUAUACAUUGCUAGGACGUACUUUAUUGAUAUAUACGACGAAGUGUAAUAACAGGAAUCACGAGAAAUAUGUCGUGUCAUUUAUUUAUUUAUAGUAUAUACGAUGAUGAUGACGAUGACACUAAAUAAUACUUCCUUCGUUUUAAAAUAGAUGACUCAAUUUUGUAUUAACUUUAGUAUAAAAUUAGUAUAAAGUUGAGUCAUCUAUUUUAAAACGGAGGAAUUAUCACAUAGUACCUAAAAACGAAUAAUUACGUAGUAGUAUAACCCAUACGCAUCGUGACUGUGCGGCGUGGCGCGGAGACCUCUCGGCCUCGGCGCGGAGGGUGCUCUAGCCGGAGAGAAAGUCCAGUUGCAUAAGGCUCUGCAAGUUGGGCCCGGACGUCGGGUGCGGCAAUAUGUCCCCGCCGCUGAGCGGCCCCGCCUGCCACACCGUGUUCUGCUGCGUGGAGUUCCCCGGCAGCGCCACCGUCGCGUAGAUCGUGUACGCGCCGGCCGCGUACUCCGCGGUGGGCGGCACCGGCACGUCGAACUGGAGGGUGGUGUUGUCCAGGGCCGGGGCCGUGGACCUCAGGAUGGUGGUGAGCACAGACACGGCGCCGCUGCCGCCCUGCGAGGCGACGAACACGUUGCUGCCGGCCAUGCCGGCGCCGCUGGGGUUGAUGCCCCAGGCGACCCACCUGGCGCUGCCCGACGUCGCGCGGAAGGCGAGCUCGGCGGUGCCGUUCGCCGCGUGGUACGUCCAGUGCAGGCUGGCCCCGAGCACGGGCAGGGUGUUGCACCGCUCGAACGACCGGCCGGCCGGGAACGUCGCGUUCCCGCAGCCCUUCUGCUGGCCCGUCGCGCCCGCCGCAGACAGUAGCACGGCGGUGGCCACGAUAACGAGGAAUCGCGCCAUGGUAUGGUAGUAGAGCGCACGCCGUACGGGGACUCUUGCUCGUGCCGGAGUUGCUUGGCUUCGGCUCCGGUCGAGCUGGCCGGAGUUGCAAGCGCGGCGUGUGGUGGAGGCGUGAAGGUAGAGAGAAGGAUAUUUGUAGUGUACGGCGAGGUGAAAGCUGGGAUGUUGGAGCAGGUUCGUGUACGGGUGGAAAUUGGAAAACUUGAGAGUUGACGGCCAGUUAUCCCUUUUGUUACGCAUCCCAUUUUGACCAGCUCAAAAACAU